rnacentral:lncRNA from 1 species
GUAGUGAUCAUGGUGAGGGAACCUGGAUGGCAGUUACUGGCACACACCUUUCAGGUAUAAUUCAACUUUUUUUCCCCUUUUUCUGUUUCCUUGUUCAGGAUGGAUCAUCUUUUGCAAUCAUACUGCUGCUGUUACUGCUAGACUCUUUGCUUUCUUCUUCUAUUCCUCAAACCUACAAACAAUGUUCCUAAUAAGUUGCUCGUAUGUUCCUUACUUGAAGGCUUUACAAAUUGGUGAUCUUGAGAUUCAUAGGACCAAUAUAGUUUUACAAGGAGACUAGAGGUUAAAGCUUUUAUUUCAUUGGAAAAUUUGCAACUGUACAGGAGAAAAAUUUUGGCAACACAAUGUAAGAUUGAACAGAGAGAAACUCAUUAUAUAGCAAAUAAUUCUAUCUCUUACAUUGAUCAAGGCAGCUUUUUGUGGAUAUAAAAAUAAAAAAAUUAAGAAAAACAUUAUUUGUGGAUACAAAAUAAAAAAUUAAGAAAAACAUUAAGCACACUACUGCGAGUACCAUUUAGCUUAAUAGAGAGAUUACAAGUCAGAGUUGAUUCUAAUAUGACAAAGUUACACUAACAAAUGAUUCUAAUAUGACAAAGUUACACUAACAAAUAUAGGAAUGGUUUGUUCCAUAAGAAUAAGUAGGCCUUAAAAGAAGCAUAAUGGAAUGACAGAUAGAGUAGCUGAUUUGUGAUUUUUUGGAAAAAGUUCCUAAUUGAGUUUGAGCUGGUGAAUAGUUGUGAAUCUUUUAGCUCAUUUCUCACCCCUUUCUAGCUUGAUUUUCUGCUACUGUCUCAGAGAUGAAAUGGUACUUUUUUUCAUGGAAGGAACAUUUGCAGUCCUUUCAAAUAUUUUUUCCCCUCCUAUUAAAGUAGAUAUUUUUUCCCCUCUAUUGAAACCAUAAAAAAUUAAUUCAUUUAAGGAGAUUUAUUUUGUGAUACAGUAUUGAGCAGAUAUCUUGUCACUGUAGUUGGAGAACUUGAUAUUCAGGAAGAAUAAAUCAUCUUUUACUCCUGGGAUUGGUUUCACUAGUCAUGUCUUUACCUUGAUGAGGAUGGCAUAAGUCCAAGUUUCAUUCAAUUUAACUUCCUCUGGGUCCUAUACAUUUAAUAAUACAAGAAAAAGUCUUAAUGUUUUCAAUGCAAGAAUUUUUGCUAUUUGCUUAUAUGCUAGAGCUAAGCCAAAACUGAUCAUUUUUCUAUAGACUAUUUACCUUGAGUUGUUGGCUAUUCCUGCUGAAACAUCUAUUGUUGUAUUGAUGGAGAUAUAAGUUUAGCUUUUGGUUGUUCAGAAAUUGUUUGCUAUACAUGGUUCCGAUAUUGUCUGUUUAGGUUUUGCCAGUGUUAUAUAUGUUGAAAUGUGUAGUUGAAGCACCCUGUUCCCCUUCCUCUUUAUACUUUGGUCUGGAUAUUGUCAAUUACCCUCGCGUCAUCUCCAUUUAUCUUGGUACUAUUUCUUUAAGUAAACAAAAAAAAUCAUUUGUCCUGUGAUUUUAAGAGUUUUCAACGGUAGCUAAUUUCAGGGACAUGAGUUGCAAUGCUCCUUUGACCGGGAGGUGGACAAGUAUUUCGUGCCGGCGGGGUCCCGGGUUCCCUACUUGGCCUUUGCAGACAACAUGUUGAUCUUCGCCAGAUUUUCGAGUAAGGGUCUUGAUGCGCUAGCUAAUAUCUUUGGGUACUACCAGUCUUGCUCCGGUCAGAAGAUUAAUGCAGGGAAGAGUUCAUUCCUUAUCUCGAAAUGGGCAACGGAGGAUCAGUGCGCAAUGGUGUCCUCGAAGUUGGGGUUUCAAUGCCAGGGGUUUCCCUUCACCUACUUAGGGGCGCCCCUUGUGCGUGACCGGCCCACUUGUGUGGUGUUUGAUGCAGUGGUCGCAAAUUUGAGAGCAAGAUUGCUGCAUUGGAGUACGCGGCUCCUGUCGCCCGGGAGAAAGUUGGUGCUCUUUCGACACGUCCUUACCUCGAUCCCUAUGUAUGCUCUGCAGGUGUUGCAACCUCCGAAGGCUGUUUUAGCUAAGUUGGAGAAAAUUUGUAACGCCUUCUUGUAGGACAAAUCGACUGAAACUAGGGGUAUUUACUGGAUGACGUGGGAGAAACUCUGUUACCCCGUGGACGAGGGGGGUUGGGGCUAAGGUCCUUCGAAAAUAUGAGUUUAGCCUUCCCUUGUAAGUUGUGGUGGAGGUUGAGGCGGCGGGAGUCUAUCUGGGCAGAAUUUAUGCAUGUUAAAUAUGUACGAGGGAGUCACCCCUCCAUAGUGCAGGUGCAGCGGCUUUCUUGGUCAUGGCGACGACUGGAGAAGGCUAGGGGAUGAGCUGAACAGCAAAUCCGCUGGUGUAUUGGGCGAGGAUUUAUCGACUUUUGGUAUGACCGGUGGAUCCUAGCCUCACCGCUGGCAGACGUUCUGGCACAGGUCGCCCCCCCCCCCCCGCAUAUGUUAGUGGCGGAAUUUUUUGGCGAAGGCAAUUGGAAGAUUGAUAGGUUGAGAGAGUGGGUCCCUGCUUGGGUGAUUCAUCUGGUCCAAGAUAUCCACAUUUAUCCAGACCAGGAGAAUUGCAUGGUUUGGGUGAUUCAUCUGGUCCAAGAUAUCCACAUUUAUCCAGACCAGGAGAAUUGCAUGGUUUGGGUUGGCUUGGCUCGGCGACGAGAGAGUUUUCACUUAAAUCAGCGUGGGCCUCACUGCGCCAGCGCCGGGAACUGUCUCAGGUGGAUCGCGUGGUUUGGAAUGGCUUGGUCCCAUUGAAAGUUUCAUUCUUUGUCUGGCGUCUAGUACAUAAUAUGAUCCCUCUGGAGGUAACACUCAAGAAUAUCGGAUUUCCAAUCCUGUCAUGCUGCUUUUACUGUGGGCAGCACAACGAGUCGUGGCGGCAUCUAUUUAUCACAGUUUCAAUCGCUCUCCAACUCUGGACCCAUUUUAGGGGGCGAUUCGGUAUCCUUCAAUCAACAUUCUCUUUUGUCUCGUCCUUACUGCUUGCCUGGUUUUACUCUAGCUCGGGAGGGACGGUACAACACAUUAGGGUAGUGGUUCCGUUACUUGUGCUCUGGCGCCUAUGAAAAGCUAGAAAUAAUGCUCGGUUUGACAGCUCUAGAUUUGAUGCUGCUACAGUGAUAGUAAUGGUAGAACAAGUGAUGGGUUAGUUGGAUAAAGGAGAGGUGCUCUCGGCCACACACUUUAGGGGUGACACGGACGACUCUUGGGCCGCUCUAACACCCCGGUUCACCCGACGACGGUUUUGUGUGGCAGUCUCAUGGAAACGUCCCCCACCACAUACCUUCAAAUUGAAUACGGAUGCCAGUGUGGUCCAAGGGAGGGCAACCGGGGGUGGUGUCCUCAGAAAUUCCAGUGGUCGGCUAAUGUUCGCCUUUUACAAGGAAUUUGGUGACAAGGUGGUCCUAGUCGCAGAGAGCUUGGCAGUACUUCAUGGUCUUCAAUUAUGCCGGGACCGGCAAAUCCAGUCACUCCUAGUAGAAGUGGACUCCUAGGUAUUGGUCCAGUUGAUCCACUUAGCGAGGAUGUCGAAGUGGCCUUUAUGCAACACGUUGCACCAGAUACGGCACCUUUUAGCCUCGUUGUCAUCUUCUGUAUCCCACAUCUUUCGGGAGGCCAACUCUUCCUCAGAUAGGCUGGCAAAUUGGAGGCGGGGAAUGGAUUGAUUCUGCACGUCUCCGCAGCAGCUGUCAAGUGAGGUACGGGCAACUCUUCUACUGGACGCUAGGGAGGUCCCAUCGGUACGACAGCACUAUGUCAGUCGGUAGCGUCUUAAGGGUUUUGCUAUAGGUAGCAAUCUUUCUCGGCGAUGUACGCUUUACAUUCAUCUUGGAUUUGAAUAAAGUUGGUUCUUGAUUUAAAAAAAAAAAGGUAGCUAAUUUUAGGUUCGGAUACUGGAACAUGGCAUUCAUAUAUUUUUUCCUGACCUUAGUGAAUCGAAGUGUUGUUGACUGGUCUUGACACUAAAUCUGUUCCAUUAUCAUAUCCAUUUAAUAUCUUGUAAUUGCAAUUUUGGAGCCACAAUCAUGUGUUUAAAUACCACCAAUUGGGCGAUAGAAUUGUGGCAUAUAUGGUUGGACAGUUUGUUUAGGUUUGCCUAGUGUUUAUCAUGUUCAAUUACAAAGUUAAAUUACUUGAUUCCCCUUACCAUCAUAUGUUGGUGUAAAGUAUUCCAAUGUAAUUCUUGUUCCCUGGAUUCAUCUACUUUCUACACUCAAGCUAAAUGCAAUCUAUGCUGUAGUUUGACUUUUUUUUCUUAUAACACCUGAUGGGAUAUAGGAUACAAGAAUGUCAUGAAUUUUUUCUAACCUAUGCCAAAAGCAGCCUAGUUGACUGGUAUGAAUCUUCUUUUAUUCUUUCUAAAGUUGCUAUUUUUGGUUUGUUUGUCUACUUGGUCAUAUGAUACCUAAGUAUUGAAGUGUGAUCGGUUCAAACCAAGUUGUUGGUUAACUACUUUUGGAUCUGACAAGAGUAUGGUUCUACUUCAAUUUUAUGUUAAAAACAAUAUAGCAUGAGCCUAAAUACAAACUUUUAGUGAAUCACUCUAUUUUUGAAAAGAAAAGAGACUAAAUAUUGGCUAAGCUGACAAAUAGUUUUCCUUCUACUGUGAAUAGGACAUGGAGAGAAAAGAGAAUAAGCAAAAAAAAAAAAGUCUGAAGGGAGAAAACUAAUACUAGAAAUUGAGUAUUCUAAACUAGCAGAAAGUUUCUUUAUUUCGUUUAUAACUGGAGAGAAGAUAUCUUAAAAUAAUAUGCUUCCUUCUAAUUUGAUCAAUGUAUUGCUGGCUUGACAGUUCUGGCAGUGGAUGCUUACUUCCUAAUUGUGCUGUCUUUCAGUAUAGUGUUAAUGUUAUGAAUCACUUCAGAUAAAAUACUGAGAGUUACUUCCAAUAACACAUUGAGAGGUGCCUCAAACAAGAUACGUGCUGCAAAUAUAUCUGUUAGGAUUAUGUUUUCCAUCAUCGUGGAUUACAUGCAUAUUUGAAUUCCAGUGUGCUACUUUACUUUCUAUAUUUGCUGACCAAUUACAUUAAAUCUGUGGACUGUUUAACUUCUUGGACAGGUGGUUGUUAUUAUAGUAUAUUGCUUAUUAGUGGUUGCAUUUUUUGCUUUUUUUACUCCUUUCCUCGGACGCAAUAUUUGGGAGUAUGCAUUGGUUGCUGGUUAUUCUCCUGUGGUAUGUAACUUUGUUUUGUUUAUGCAUAUUACGUAGUUACAAAACAUGCUCCACUCAAGCAUAUGUUGGGACUUGAAUUGACUGUUUAGGCUACAGAUUUUACUCAUACUGGUAGUGUCGAAAGGCCAAAUUUCUUGCCUAUUUGAAAGAACUAAGACUGACCUCCGUACGUCCUAUUAAGCUUGCAUAUGCCUCAGUGUUUGGCUGUCUUCAUUUGCUAUUGACUGUCAAUGCUUUUAUUAUUUGUACUAUUCCAAAGCGAGCCAUUAAAUUUCCCUCUCCCUCUCCCUCUCUCUCCCUGUCUCUCUCUCAUUUGUUAGAAUUUUAGGGGGUGCUUGGUUCAUGCUUUGGAAUUGGAGCUGGAAUGAAAUAUCUAUGAAAUAAUAAAUAGAAAAUAAUUAUGGAUUUGAAUUAGUGGCAUCAUUCUAAUCACUAGUGCUUGGUAUAGACAUAAUUGGAAUGGGUGUCAAAAUUAAUUUUUAUUUUUUUUGCUGGAUUUCAAAAUUAUUAAUCCCUAUGGAUGAAUUCUAAUCACUUGUGCAUUUAGCAAAUGUCGGAAUUCGUGUCGAAAAACAUGAAUGGCUAUGGACUAAGCCCUAUUCCCUAAAAAAACAAAAAAAAAAGUUGUGAAAGAAAAAAAUGGAAUUGUACCUGCUAAUCCAUGGGUUUAAUGUUGAGAUUUUGGUUAAUAGUUGACCCAUUUACUGAUAAAUGCCGGUUUAAUAUUCUAACUUCUUAGAUUAGUUAACUGUGAACUGGACGAGUCUUUGAUUUUAGAAACUAACCGGAGAAUAAACCUUAAAACGUAGCCACUAAGACUUCACAAGGGUUAAAUGCAUCUUGGCAAUAGAUGAUUUGAGUUGUUAGACUUUAUUUGUUGAAUUGUUGUUCUCAUGUUUGAGGACAAGUAUGGUCUAAAUGUGGGGGGAAUUGAUAGGGUACAAAAUUGCUAUUUAAUUUAUGAUUAUUUUUCCCUUAAUUUUAGCCAAAUAUUAUUUUAAUUGAUAGAUUCUACUUAUAUUUAGUUAAUGGUGCUAAGUGCAGGAAAGGAGCAAAACGUGAUUAGAAGGGGUAAUUUUUCAGUUAAUUUGAUGGUGGCACGUUUGGGGCCGGUUUUCAAGUCCAAAUCAAACUCAGGGCAACUUUUGGAGGAAGAUUUUGAAGACUUUAAUUUUCAUUAUUAGUUUUAGUAUUGGAUGAGAAAAUUUGGAAUAUUAUCUUUAGUAGUUUCCUUUUUCUAUUUUGGAGAACAUGUCUUAUUAUUAGUAGUUGAUGUUAAGUAGGAAACAAGGGGAGAAAAUGACGAACGAACCAGUGUGAUUAAGAGUUCAGCCAGCAACAAUAUCGAGGAGGGGAGGGGUGAUUCUUUGGAACAUAAGAGAGCUAUCACUUGUUUUCUCAAUUCGUCUUGCUUUUCUUUAAUUUUAGAGAAAAACCAUAUGCAAUCAGAUUCAAUGGAGUCUUGCGGAAUUUAUUUUAUGAUGUGUAGUUAAAUCUCCAUUUUCUAGUCAAGGGUCGACUUGAAGUCAAGGUUCCAAAUAUCUGUGAGAUUGAAUUAAUUUUAUUUAUUUCUUUUUUUCGCAAAAAACACUACUUUUAUUGCUCAAUCAAAAACUUACAAGCCGAGUACUGGACCGGUCAUCAAGACGAUCCUUUGAUAGUUCUAAUAGAGGGAAAGCCUAGCAUAUCCAUCCUAACUUCCCCUCUCGCUAGCCGUGGAAGAGAACAGAGGUGGUGAUACACCCUUACAGGAUUUUGCGAAUGCAGGAUACCUACAUUAGCUAAUAUGUCAACCACUUUGUUGGCUUCCCUAAAACAAUGGGAGAACUGUGUAGGAUACGCAACUAACUGCCAUAGUUGAUGCACUUCCCUUUGAAUGUGCCAUGGGCACUGGAACCGCCGCUGUAAUAUACCCACUAGUACCAGCGAAUCUGUCUGCACUCGAACCUGUACAAAACCUCAUUGAAAGCAUAAGCGAAACCCCGUUAAUAGCGCUAAUGCUUCAGCGUGCAAGCUAGUAUUGACCCUCAGGGAAACCGAGAAUGCCACUAACACCCGACCAUUUGACUCCCGUAGUAUUCCACCUCAUCCACUUAUUCCUAGAUUCCUCUUCGAGCACCCAUCCGUAUUCAAGGAUAGGAACCCCCUCCCAACUGCCUGCCACCUGACCAAACGGACCAAGCGUAAUGAAGACUGCUGAGAAAGCCUUUCAAAGAACUGAUCAAAAUUCCGCGCUACAAUCACAUGCUGAAAUUUAACCUCAUCCGCCUUGCUAAUGUCCUGGAGAAUGCCAUAACAAAUCUCCCCACUAGUCAUUUUGACCCCUUCAAAAAUUGCUUUGUUCCGUGCCUUCUAGAUGUGCCAACAGAUGAAACUUGGUAGAAUAGAGACCACAAAACGUCUCUGAGCAUCCGAACGUGCAGACAGCCACCAAGCAACCAAUCUCUCUCGCAGUGAUACUAUAGGUAGACAUAUUCUGCACGAGGAGCCGAAGAUGUCCCAAAGCUCUACCGCUAGUUGUCCCGUUGAGAAAAUGUGGUCAAUAGCUUCCCCAGCCGCCAUGAAGCAACAGAAACAUUUUGAAGGUAAUUGAAAGCCAAAUUUACCCAAUAUAUCAUCCAGCAGUAGCCUCCGCAUCAAUAGACGUAACAUAAAGAAAGAGAUUUUAAGUGGGAGCUGAGGGAACCAAAUGUGGGGGAAUAUCCAAGAGGGGUUCCGAGCUUGCCUUACCUCUUGAUAUUUAUUUCUUUAAUUCAUUGAUAUUUGUAUGUUUUCUGCUUUAAUUUCUCAUGAUUAUUUUAUUGUUUGAAUGUCGAAGGCCCGAUAUUUGAAUUAACUUAAUAAUUUACUACCAGUUUAUAUGAUUAAAUCCGUAAUUGUUUGAUCAAUUAGCAUUAGUGGCAACUAGCGUGAUCGGUCUCAUGUUAGAGAAACGAAUGAUCUAAUUUAAACAAACCCUCGGAGCAUGUUUGUUAAUUAAGGUUGGGUUUCUUUAAUUCUUAAUGCGAUUGAGGAAUUAAAUCUUACGGUCGUACCUAAGGUUGUUCCUUGAUUAGGAAAAUAGUCAACGGUCAUACUUUGACUGUCGAAAAAGUAAGGAAGAGUUGGUUAUCAGAACUUGUUGAUGACUAUAACCAAUCUAUCAGUGAAUAUUUGAAUUAUUUUUGCAUCAGUGAUCUGUUGUCUGAACUGUGGCCAAAAGUUGUACUUUUGGCUGGAGUCACGUCUCCUGUUAAUUUAAUUCUCAUUUAUUGUGUUGUUAAUUUGUUUUUUAGUUAUUUCUGCAAUUUGUUGAUUUCCUAUUUAGUACUCAGGAUUUAGUGAUUAAUUAGGUAUUUUUAAAUUCAUAAAAAAAAAUCCCCCUCGUAAGUUUACUCUAGAAAGGAAUAGAUUUCUCUCCAGUCUCUGUGGAUACGACCCUACUCACCACUAUUUACAAAAUUCUUAUUUUUUUCGAGUAGGUAUUUAUUAUUGUAUAGACUCGACACCUAUCAAUUAUCUUGAUAGAUUAUUUAAAGGAAAACAAAAAAGGGUUACCUGUAGUUAGGGCUUUUGGAUUGUUGUUAGGGCUGCUAGGGUUUGGGGUGAGAAGAUUAUUGUAGGGAAGAUUAUUAUUGGGAGGGAUGGGAUUUUUUAUCACAAAGAAAAUGAAACGGUCGUAUUUGUCAAAUAUGACUGACGGGGUAGUUGCAUUCUCCAAAUAUGACUCUCUCUUAUGCUUGAACCACUUAUCAAUCACUCCCUUUUGGUGGAUAAGAUUUUUUUUAUCGCAACGAAGAAAUUGGUCCAAAUCCCACAUACUACAAAUAAGAAAACUCAAAAAAAGCAAAUUGAUGCAAGUAUGAUAUGAAGUGUUAAUAUACAAUUGAAUUAUUAAGUAUUGAAAAUACGAAAAAAAAAAAAAAGCAAAAUUACAAUACCUCCUCUAGUCCAUCUUCAAGGAAAAACUUUUAGUGGUUGAAAAGUAGAUAUGAGAGAAAAACAAAUAUAGUUCUUGAGAGACCGAACUAAAGAAAACUGAGCAAAUACUUGUGAUUAAGUGAGAAGGGAGAAAAAAAGAUUAUAGAUGGAGAGAAAUCAUAGUCAACUAAUAAGAAAGUGAAUCUAAGGUCCUAUUUGAUAGCCCAAUUCAAUACUUAAAUUUAAUGAAUUCAAAUCUUAAUAUGUUAAGAUUUAUUUGAUAACAAAAAAUUGAAUAUCUGAAUUAAUUAAGGGAUAAUUGCAGAAACCUCCCCUGACUUUUAUAGUAAUAGCAUUGAGCUCCCCUAUUAAUUUUGAAAUAGCACUGACCUCCCCUAUCAAAAGUUGGAGGCAAUUUAAUAGGUAAAAGUGGGUCAAUUUACUAAAGUACCCCUGACAUGAUUUAAUUUUACCAAAUGAAUGUGAUGAGUACUUUCAUCAAACCCAAUAAAACAUUUGUUAAUAAAAAUUACACUAAAUUAACUAUUUCUGCAAAGUUUAACUAAUUAACUAAAUAACUAAUAAUCUAAUUAAUUAAUAACUAAUUAUCUAAUUAACUAUUAACUAAUUAUCUAAUUGUUAAUAGUUAUUAACUAAUCAAACUAUUUCUGCAUAAUUAAACUAAUUAACUAUUAACUAAUUAUCUAAUUAAUUAUUAACUAUUAACUAAUUAACUUAUUUCUGUUUAUCUAAUCAACUAAUAUCUAUUUAUUUAAUUAACUAAUUAUCUAAUUAACUAAAGUUGUUGUCUGUCCGAAACUAAUAAACUAUUUGCAUGUUAAACUAAUUAACUAAUUAGCUGCUUAACUAAUUAACUACCUAAUUAUCUAAUUAAUUAAUUAACUAAUUAACUAAUUUUGUUUAUCUAAUUAACUAAUUAACUAAUUUUGUUUAUCUAAUUAACUAAUUAACUAAUUAUCUAAUUAACAAAAGUUGUUGUCUAUCCGAAACUAACAAACUAUUUGCAUGUUAAACUAAUUAACUAAUUAACUGCUUAACUAAUUAACUAAUUAACUAAAGUUGUUGUCUAUCCUAAACUAACAAACUAUUUGCAUGUUAAACUAAUUAACUAACUAAUUAUUCAAUUAAUUAAUUAACUAAUUUUUGUUUAUCUAAUUAACUAAUUAACUAAUUAUCUAAUUAACCAAUUAACUAAAGUUGUUGUCUAUCCGAAACUAACAAACUAUUUGCAUGUUAAACUAAUUAACUAAUUUCUAUUUAUCUAAUUAACUAAUUAACUAAAACUGUUGUCUGUCCGAAACUAAGAAACUAUUUGCAUGUUAAACUAAUUAACUAAUUUAUUACUUAACUAAUUAACUAACUAAUUAUCUAAUUAAUUAAUUAACUAAUUUCUAUUUAUCUAAUUAACUAAUUAACUAAUUAAUUAAAACUGUUAUCUAUCCGAAACUAACAAACUAUUUGCAUGUUAAACUAAUUAACUAAUUAACUGCUUAACUAAUUAACUAACUAAUUAUCUAAUUAAUUAAUUAACUAAUUAACUAAUUUCUAUUUAUCUAAUUAACUAAUUAACUAAAGCUAUUGUCUGUCCGAAACUAACAAACUAUUUGCAUGUUAAACUAAUUAACUAAUUAACCACUUAACUAAUUAACUAAUUAAUUAGCUAACUAAUUAGCAAACUAUUUGCAUGUGUAAGCCCCGAUGCAACCAAAUACAACCAAAAUACUCAACCAGACAAGUAGUCAAGUAAAUACAAUGACAAAGAAUAUAAGCAAUUUUAAAGCAUAAAAAUAGAGUAACAAUAAAGUAAAAGAGAUUCAAACCAAUCAAACUCCCAAACUUCUUCCAAACUUGGAGUUGAAUCCACCAAAUAGUUUUUUCAAUUGAUGGUAGUGCUAACCAACUUGUACAAGUGAAGGCUCACUCAUUCCUCACCCCAAACAACUUUGGUUGAGCAAAGGAAUUUUACUACUCUCCAAGUAAACCCUCAACUAACUACAAUUGAAAGCUUACCCAUUCAAUUAAGAACUACUUUAUACAAGUGAGGCAACCUUUAUCAAGGUUUUACCACUCCAAGUGAUAGGUUCACCUUCACCAAGGUUUUACUCCUCCUAGAGAGUAACCUUUACUUGAGCAACCUCACAACCCAACUUUCCCAACCCCUUAUACAACCAACAAAUAAUAUUUCUACUCAAAGAUCUCACUUGUAAGCUUGUAUUUAGUGUUGGCAAAAGGUCCGUGUCUUCUUGUGCUUUGGGGUAUAUAUAGAAGGUGAGAAAUGGCUCCAAAAGGCUCUCCAACGGUCAAAUAUUAAAUGCUGUCGAAACUAGCCAUUGGCCUGUCGGACGUCCGAACCAUUUGCUCUGCGUCCGAACCAUGCGUCCGAACCACCUAUCGGACGUCCGAACCAUUUGUUCUGCGUCCGAACCCUGCGUCCGAUAGAAGUCAGAAUGUUCAACGUUCAUUCUUUUUGUGUCGGACGGCCGAAGCAAUGAAUGAGCGUCCGAUCCAAGCGUCCGAAGAGUAUCGUCGUCAGUCGGACGUCCGAUCCUCUAUCGAGCGUCCAAUUCUCUACGUCCGAACCUUCAUAUAUCUUAACUUCUCUUUGAUACAAAUCUUUUCGAUUCUCUUUUGGAUCAAUGACCUGUUCUAACAAAUUUCUCACGUAAAAACAUUAGUCCAAAUCUACAUUUUGGUUUGUUAAUCAUCAAAACCAAUGACUGAUCAACCAAGGUCAACAAUCUCCCCCUUUUUUAUGAUGACAAACAAAAUGAAGAUUUCUUUGAUCAAAUAAGUUCAAAUAAAACUCCCCCUUAGAAAAAUGCCAACAUACAAAGAAAUUUCAAUGAAUCCUACUCCCCCUUUUGGUAUCAAUCAAAACGCAAACUCCCCCUUUAUUUUUCAAAUCAAGACCAUAUAGAAUGUCAAAACUUUCAAAAACCCAAUUGUAAUAAUUUUUUUUUUUUAGGGUUCUUGGGAGUUAGUACAACAUGAUCUAGCAAUCCACAUGGAUUUCAUACCUUUUCUCAUAUUUUUCUUUACAUAACAAUCAUUUUGCAUAUGUCCAAAUUGGCAACAAAAGUGACACAUGAUAGAAGUAUUUUGCACAUAAGCGGAUUUAAUGCAACUAAUUUUCUUACUUCUUAUCAUAGCAAACUUAUUCGUGCCUUGAAAAGAUUUGCUUUCUUUUAUUUGAGAAAACUUUUGUUUUUCAUUUUGGAGAAACUCGUUCAAGUCAUUAAUUCUUUUCUUUAACAAAUUUUGUUCCUUCAAUAUUUUUUCAUAAAACUUUGUUUUCUCUUCCAACUUCCUUUUCAAAUUAUUUUUGCAAUCAAAAACACCUUUUUGAUUUUUUAAAUCAUCAUUUUCCAUUCUCAAACAUUUGUUUUCUUGAAAAAGUUUGAAGUUUUCUUCCAACAAAUCAUUUAUUUUUGUUUUCAAAUCUUUAUUUUUAAGAUUCUCUCAAACUUUUAUGCAUUUUAAUCAUAAGAAUAUGCACAUCAUCAUCUUUAUUAUUUUCAUCAUUAGAAGAGUGAUAAAAAUUUACCUCAUCUUCUCCAAAGGCCAUUAGUGUCAUUUGGGCCAACUCUUCUUUUUCUCUUUUUGAAUUGCAUUCAUCCCAUGUAAUUUUGCAAUCUCCUCUUGAACUUCUCUUGUUGAAGAUCUUCUUGAAACUUUUGAUGUGAGGAGCUAUAUCAUUGUCCACUUCCAUGUUUUCAUUACCCAUGAAGGAUGGGUUAUUCCCCACUUGAGAUGUUUUAAAAGCUAUGCCUCUCUUAUACAUUCUUGCAUUUUCUUCCUCUUGCACUUUGAAUUUCAGCUUUAAUUCAUAAGAGGUUAGGGAAUUCACAAGAGAUUCAAUGGACAUAGAAUUUAAAUCCUUUGCCUCUUCUAUAGCAUUUAUUUUGUUUUCCCAUUCUUUUGGCAAUGCAUUCAAAAUCUUUCUAUUUUUCUCACCCAAAGAAUAUUCUUUUCCAAGCAAUUUAAGAUCUUGAAUAAUGUCACAAAAUCUACUACACAUCUUAUCAACAUUUUCAAGAGGAUGCAUUUUAAAAAAUUCAUAUUGAAAAACAAGCAAGGAUUUCUUUUGUUCUUUAAUAUCUUGGUUACCUUCAUGAAAUACACACAAUUUAUCCCAAAUAUCUUUAGCUGAUUUACAACCUUUAAUCCUACUAGAUUCAUUUACAUCUAAUGCAUUGUACAAUAUAUACAUGGCCUUGGCAUUCAAAGAAAGGUAUCUCUUGUCUUUUUCAUUCAAUUCUUGUCUAGUCUUUAAUCUACUCAAAUUAGUGGUAGAGUCAACUAUUCUAGCUUCAUAAGAACCAUCUUCUACCACAUACCAUAAUUCAAUAUAAAUGGAUUGUAAGAAAAUCAUCAUUCUUUGUUUCCACAUGCUAAAAUGAGAACCAUUAAACAUAGGUGGUCUAUCAAUAGAUUGCCCUUCUAAAAAGGAAACUUUUAUGGUUGCCAUGAUCUUUACACUAAGCGGUUAAACUUAAUCUCUAGGAGACCAAGCUCUCAUGCCAAUUGUAAGCCCCGAUGCAACCAAAUACAACCAAAAUACUCAACCAGACAAGUAGUCAAGUAAAUACAAUGACAAAGAAUAUAAGCAAUUUUAAAGCACAAAAAUAGAGUAACAAUAAAGUAAAAGAGAUUCAAACCAAUCAAACUCCCAAGCUUCUUCCAAACUUGGAGUUGAAUCCACCAAAUAGUUUCUUCAAUUGAUGGUAGUGCUAACCAACUUGUACAAGUGAAGGCUCACUCCUUCCUCACCCCAAACAACUUUGGUUGAGCAAAGGAAUUUUACUACUCUCCAAGCAAACCCUCAACUAACUACAAUUGAAAGCUUACCCAUUCAAUUAAGAACUACUUUAUAUAAGUGAGGCAACCUUUAUCAAGGUUUUACCACUCCAAGUGAUAGGUUCAUCUUCACCAAGGUUUUACUCCUCCUAGAGAGUAACCUUCACUUGAGCAACCUCACAACCCAACUUUCCCAACCCCUUAUACAACCAACAAAGAAUAUUUCUACUCAAAGAUCUCACUUGUAAGCUUGUAUUUAGUGUUGGCAAAAGGUCCGUGUCUUCUUGUGCUUUGGGGUAUAUAUAGAAGGUGAGAAAUGGCUCCAAAAGGCUCUCCAACAGUCAAAUAUUAAAUGCUGUCGAAACUAGCCGUUGGCCUGUCGGACGUCCGAACCAUUUGCUCUGCGUCCGAACCACCUAUCGGACGUCCGAACCAUUUGUUCUGCGUCCGAACCCUACGUCCGAUAGGUGUCAGAAUGUUCAACGUUCAUUCUUUUUGUGUCGGACGGCCAAAGCAACGAAUGAGCGUCCGAUCCAAGCGUCCGAAGAGUAUCGUCGUCAGUCGGACGUCCGAUCCUCUACGUCCGAACCUUCAUAUAUCUUAACUUCUCUUUGAUACAAAUCUUUUCGAUUCUCUUUUGGAUCAAUGACAUGUUCUAACAAAUUUCUCACAUAAAAACAUUAGUCCAAAUCUACAUUUUGGUUUGUUAAUCAUCAAAACCAAGGAUUGAUCAACCAAGGUCAACAGCAUGUUAAACUAAUUAACUAAUUAACUGCUUAACUAAUUAACUAACUAAUUAUCUAAUUAAUUAAUUAACUAAUUAACUAAUUUCUGUUUAUCUAAUUAACUAAUUAACUAAAGCUAUUGUCUGUCCGAAACUAACAAACUAUUUGCAUGUUAAACUAAUUAACUAAUUAACUGCUUAACUAAUUAACUAAUUAAUUAGCUAACUAAUUAACAAACUAUUUGCAUGUUAAACUAUAUGCAGUACGCAUUACGUAUUUAAAGUAUCGGCUUUUAUAGGUAUUUUACUUUCAAACAUUUAAUUUAUGAUAAAAUUAUCAAUGUUUGUAAGUAAAAUUCAAAAAGUGUUACAAAAAAUAUCAAUAUUCUUACUUUCAAACAUUUAAUUUAUGGCCCUAUACCCCUCUCUUUUUGUAAGAAUAUUACUGUAACACUUUUUGAAUUUUACUUACAAAUAUUGAUAUUUUUAUCAUAAAUUAAAUGUUUGAAAGUAAAAUACCCAUAAAGAGCCGAUACUUUAAAUAGAUAAUGCGUACUGCAUAUAGUUUAACAUGCAAAUAGUCUGUUAAUUAGUUUGUUAGUUAAUUAGUUGAUUAGUUAAGCAGUUAAUUAGUUAAUUAGUUUAACAUGCAAAUAGUUUAUUAGUUUCGGACAGACAACAGCUUUAGUUAAUUAGUUAAUUAGUUAAUUAGUUAAGCAGUUAAUUAGAUAAAUAGAAAUUAGUUAAUUAAUUAAUUAGAUAAUUAGAUAAUUAGUUAAUUAGUUAAUAAUUAAUCAGAUAAUUAGUUAAUAGUUAAUUAGUUUAACUAUUAACUAAUUAGAUAAUUAGUUAAGCAAUUGUCAAGUAAAUAAUAAUUGUCAAGCAAGAAGAGGGCAAAAUUGAAAGAAAUUUAUUAUCUCACUUCUACAAAAGCUGUCAAGGAGGUUUCUGCAACAAAUUGUUACUGUUCAGGGGAGGUGAAUGCAAUUUCAAAACCUAGAGGGGAAGUCAAUGCAAAUGUCAGAAAUCUCAGGGGAGGUUUCUGCAAUUAUCCCAUUAAUUAAUUGACACUGAAUUUUUUAAACAAAACUUUCUCCAAAAAAUAAGUGAUCAGCUAUUCGCUUAUCACUUAAUAUGAUAUACACUUAAAUGCAUCAUAUUUAAUAUUUAACAAUUUAAUAAUUUAAUAAUUUAAUAAAUUUAGAUUUUAAAUUUUAGAUUUUAGACUUCAGUUCUAUCAAAUGCACCCUAAUAGUGAAGCUAUUUUUGCUUUAAAAUAGAGAAAAAGAAAAACCAAAAACUUUGCUAGCACAAACAGAAUCAGAAUUUUAAUUUAGGGGAGUCAAACAAUUAAGUACAUGAAAAUUUAGAAAUAGUGUACUAAAGAAAAAUACAACAGUUUUAAGUUCAAAACUUAUAGCAUAGUAAGUGUUUGCUUAUAAUAAGAGAGAAAGUACAAAGCAAAAUAACAAAACAAAAUCAUUAGGAAGCGAAGAAACACCUACAAAUAAUUUUGCAGUAGUUUAUUUCUGGUUUCCAAAUCAAUAUGGAAUCUAACAAAAGCAUAUGGUUAAAAAGCUAAAUCUUUACAAAAUGACAUUAUUAACAUGAAAACCUAUAACUUUCCUCAAGUCUUCUAGCUAGACAAAAUGACAUUAUUAACAUGAAGACUUAUAAUUUUCCUCAAGUCUUCUAAUAGCCAAAAAAGAUAAUUGUGCCUCUAGUAGUUGAUGAAAUAUCUUAUCACAAGAGUUGCACUUUGUUGUUAAAUAACAAGAAUUGUUUUAAUUAAAAAUUAAUAAAGGAUUUAAUAUACAAUAGAGGAAAUUAUAAAGACAAAUAAUAAAAAAAACCUUUCUUUGCAACAAUAUAGUUUUGAGGAUCGAAAAAGAAUCUACACUUGAAAACAAAUUACAAUGGUACAAAAGUUGAUUCUACCAUUUUAUAUUAUAAAAAGGAUAAAUUACACAUAACCUCCUAUAGUUUCAACUGUUUCUACAUGACCUCAUAACAUUUUCAAAUAUCCACUUCACCUCUUAUGGGGCCUGUUUAGAAGGUGAGUUUUUUGGAUGUUUGUAUAAAACUUUACUGUAGAUCACUGUCGAAAUUGUAGAAAAACUUUUGUAAAAUAAAAAGUUUUUUUCCUUUUCAUUUUCUUUUUUCUUUUUUUUCUCUAUCUUUUUUCUUUUCCUUCCUCCCUUCCCGGUUCUUCUUCCUCCCUCUUCCCUCCCCUGUUCCCUCUCCCGGAGACUUCCAUGACAGCAAAUUUCUUUCUGUAUUUUUUUUUUUGCUUUUUUUCUCUUCCAUGGCAGCCACCCCUCCCUCUCUCUCCCCCGCCAUCUCUCUUCUCCCUUUCCCCUUCCCCUUCCUUCCCCCGCCAUCCCUCUCUUUUUUUUUUUUGCUUUUUUUCUCUUCCCCCUCCCUCCCCCGCCACCCUCCCUCUCCCUUCCCUGCCAUCCCUCUUCUCUCUCUCCCUCUUCCUCCCUCCUCCUCUUCCCCUCCACCCUCCCUCACCCCCUUCAUGAUGCGAUCUAGUCGGGCCCCUCCCCUUCCCCUCCACCCUCUCUCACCCCCUUCACGACGCGAUCUGGUCACGCCCCUCCCCUUCCCCUUCCUUCCCCCGCCGCCCCUUCCUUUCCCCUCUCCUCCUUUGCGAUUUGGUCGCGUGACCAGAUCAGUCAAAGGGGGAGGGGGAGGGAGAAAAAAAAAGGAAAAAAUUUUCAGAAGGGCACCAACAUAUUGGUCAAAGGGGGAGGGGAGAGGAGGAGAGGGGGUGAGGGAGAGAGAAAAAAAAAGGGGAAGGCCAAAACUGGCGGUUGGAAUAGUGAUCGGAGCCGGAAACGGUGGUGGAGGUGGUGGCCGGCGGCGGAGGAUGUGGUGGGUUGGGUAGGGGAGGAAAAAGCAAAAAAGUUGAAGGGAAAGUUUUUUGUGUAUUUUUGAAGUGUGUAGGUUAAAAAUUUUGAAUAAGUUUUUUGGGGUUCCUGUAGCAAAAGUUGUUAACAAACUAGUAGGUAAAAAACUUGUUUAAAAACCUGGCUUCCAAACAGGCCCUAUAGUUUCAUGUAAAGUAGGAAGUUGAAGGAAUAGUCUCUAUAACAUUGUUAGUUGAAAUACAAGAUUAGCCUUACUUAAAUACUAAGUUAUAUGAUGGUUUAACCACCUUCUAUAAUACCAUAGAGAGAUUAUGUGGAUAGAUGUCAAAACUACAAGGCAAUAAAGUGGAUAUUCGUGUAAUAAGGAGAUUAAGUGAACAUUAUAUUUCAUGCACAUGCAUUUUUGGAGUGCCUUUGGUUCCAUCGCCAUCAUUGGUGAUGCUUUCAAUCUGUUUUCCACUUUACAUAAAACCAUCGUGUAUUAUAUGAUUAUUUGAAAACGUUAGGGGGUCAUAUGGCAUUAUGCAAAACUACAUGGGAGUCAUAUGUGAUUUACUAGAAAAAGGCAAAUUACAAAUGUAUAAAAGCUGGUCGCCCCAUUUUAUAUUUUAUAAAGCUAAUAUAGUUUCAAUGGUUAAUAUUUUUAAUCAAGUUAACUUUUCUAAGUUGCUGUAGUACAAAUUGAAUUCUUUAAUUUCCUUAUAUCACUAAUAGUUAUCUUUCCUUGUACUAAUACCACAUAGAAUAAGAGAUUUAGAUUAUUGCAAUAGGAGACUUGUAUAGAAAUGUUAGAGGGAUCACAUAUAAUUACCAUCAUUAAAAAAUUUGUGGGGAAAGAAAACUGUAGUUUAAAUAAAAUCUUAAAACUAUUACAUACUAUUAAAGAUUUGGAUGCAAUCUUGAGUGGCCACUCGUCUUUGCUCCCGUUGAUUCCUUCCGUGUCUGGAAGUUUCUUUACUUGAGAUGUUGUAUCUAUCUUGAGAUCUUCGUACUUGAGAAAUAACACUUUUUGAAUGUCAUGUAAGUUUGCAUUCAAGUAUCCCUCUAUAUGAUCCCACUAGGAGGUAUAAACUACAUGGUGCACGAUGGUAUAGAAACAGAAGGUGCACAGACAAGCAUAUGAUGUGGAGGAAAAAUACUAGAGGAGGAUAUAGCUACGGACAUUCACGUGUUUCGGCAGAUGACAACCAAGGUUGUUAGGUCAACAUUUUUUUUUUUUUGCUAAAUGGGCUACGCAGGAGCAAAAUAUGAGUACGAACAUGCGCUACUUUUCAUACAAAGAAAGAUUUGAACUGAACAAAGCAAGAUAAACAAUGGAAACACGUUUCAUAUAAAGAAAGCUCUAAACUAAACAGACUAAGAUACAUAAUGGGAAGUAAUAUAGAGCCUAGUUCUAGUACAUACCCACUACAAUUGCUUCUUAGAGACUAUCAUAGUGCUUAAAAACUUAGUAUGGACUAAGUUGGAUGAAUAGUGAAAUUGAAAUGCCAUGGAUAUAGUUUUUCAAUGUCUUUUCUAUUGAAUACGAUAACAGCAAAAGAGGUGGGUGAUUGUGGAAUAAAAAACAAUAUGUCUCCCGGGCAAAGAGCAUGUUCGACUAUGAAAGUGGCCCAAUUCUCAUUGAAGGAUCUUUGGUUCAUGCCAAUGCAAUAGGUUUUAUAGCCGCUUGCAAGAAUUACUGUUGGUGUUGUGCCUUCACGUAGUCGAAGGUCAGCAUAUUGCGGAAGGGCCUAUUCACAAAAAAAAAGGGGAUUGAGGGAUCCAAAGAACAAAGUUUAGCCAAAACCAGAUUUUGAAUAAAGAAAAGUAGUACGAACAAAAGAAGAAAAGCUAUAUAUAACAUAAAAAAACUUAUAAUUAUUCGUAAUCACCCUAAGCCGACACAUAUCAAAACUGGAUUAUGUGCAAUAUUAGUCAUAAUAUCAGUCCCUUCUAUGGCUUCGAACUCAUUCUAGACGAUCAAAAUAAUAUAGGCCUAAAUCUUAACACAGAAGAACAUACAAAGAAAACUAAUUAUUAACCUGAACACAAAAGAUAAAAUCAAUAAAUAGAGGGAAAAAAAAUACCCAACACCUACUCAUAGAUAACAAUAACAUAGUCGCACGCAACAGAUGGCCCCCUUUCAAAAUACUUCUCUAGCAGGAAGGCACACAAAACAAUUCCCUUGACAUUUGUGAAGCUUCAAAAAGAUAAAUUCAGGAAACAAAAAAAUGUAUAGGCACACAAAAUUCAAGAAUAGGAGAAAAACAACACAACGGAAAAUAAAGUUACCUAUGAAAUUUUUUGUGUCGGCAACAGUGUCGCAUGAAGCAAUAGAUGGUAGUCCAAAAUAACAUGGGAGUGUUGGAGGCUCAACUUCGAUCACUUCAUCAAUUACCGUUUCAAUAGUCAAAGAGUCAGGUAUCUCAUAAAAAUGAGUUUUUGAAAUGUGAUACUUCUUAAACGGCACAAGUGGAUUGCUAACACAAUCAAUGUUCUCAUCAAUCCCAAGUGCAAUCACCUUUACACCCCAAAAUAGGCAAAUCCACAAUCAGCAAAAGAAUUAAGGAAAAGUAAACACUGAACCAACAUAAAACUGCACCUCAAAAUCAGAAAAAAACAAAAACAAAAACAAAGUAGUGAAACUUCUUUGCUAGUUCACUGCCACAAAUUGCCUUCACAUGUGAUGCCUCGAUAAGUUGAACUCAGGAUGUCCAACAAACCAUGUAAGCAUUAACCUAUGGCACACUAACAUCCCAUCAACAUGCUCGGACCACAUAACUUAAAGAAAAAGACAAACCAGGCCCAAUGUUAAAAAAGACAUGGAAAAAGGGGAAAAUCAAAAGAAAACAAAAUGAGAGCAUAAAUACAGACAUUCAACCAAACUAUGAGCUAAUAAAUGUAUAACUAAAAGGGAAAAGGGAUAAAAGGCCACCAAAAUAAGGCUAUAAAAGUAUCAAACAAGUCAUUACAAGGAAGUCGAAAUACAAAAAAACACCAGCCAUCAAUAGUUAUAAAAGAAGUGAACAAAACCAAUCAUAAAAGAAAUAUUAGAAAAAAAACAACACAGGUCUUGCUCCAAAAAAGGGAAAAAUCUUGCUACUCCUCAACAACAUAAAUAAAGCAAGCCUGGCUUAUGCACUCUAAAUUGAUAAGCGAAAAAACACAAAAACAAGAGAUAAGGAAAGAGGGAAACAUAAAAAAAAUACACCAAACAUCUUGAGUUAUAAAACAAUAGAACAGAACAAGGCAUAAAAGAAGUUUAAAAAAAAAAGACACAAUUGUCUGGGGCAAAAUUUUUUUUUUCUUGUGAUGGCCAAGUUCUAACCAUUUUGUGUGCUUAUUUGUAGCAAGCCAAUUGUGUCCUUUUUUUUUUGGCUAUAACCUAGCCAUAAAAGAAAGAAAGAACAAGAGAAAACACUUUGUUACGAGAAGAGGGAAAAAAGACUCAAUCCACAGUUCUAAAAGGAAAAGGAAAAGUUGUACUAACCAAAAUAGCACAUCAAACAAGAGGGAAAUUGCAAAAGGGAAAAAGGAAAAAAUGAUAAAGCUACGGAAAAAAUACAAGCAAGGCGUAAAACAAGCAUAUAAUAUAAAAUCAAACCAAAAAACUCUCUGAACAAAAUAGGAGGAAAACGCAACACCUGGACGAGAGGGCCAAGAAAAAAUUUCCCAAAAGAGGACAAAUGCCACAAAAAAAAUCACCGAAAAGUAAAAAAGAAAUUAAAAGAAUAGUGAAGAGAGAACUAGGGAAAAAGAAUGAAAAACACAAUAGCCAAGCGUUACAGCAAACGUAAAAGGAAAAAAGGAAGAAAAAAAAGGAAAAAUGAUAGAGCCAAGAGCAAGGAAAAAGUACCCAAGCAACGCACAAAACAAGCGUAAAAGCCAGCACAGAAGCAAAAAACUAUUUGGCCAAAAAAGUAGACAAGAUAGAGUGACUGGAGAAGUGAGAUCCAACGCUAAAAAAACUUUCGAGGAAGAAAAGAGUACCAAGGGAAAAAAGGAGAAAACACAGCAAUUGGACGAAAAUGCUUUAGCACUGGGGAUGUAUUUUUAGAAGCCAAAACAACCACGCCCUUUGUCCUCCAACUGCAUUGAAGUAAUUUUUUUUUAAAAAAAAAGACUAAACAUCAGCUUGGUUGAGCUUCAGAAAAAGAAAUUAAAAAAGAACAUACCUAUGCAGAACCAAACACCAACAGAGCUAAUGCUGAACAGAAAAAUACCUAGGAGAGCAAGCAGUGAGGUGAACGCAACGACAGCACAUCUGUCUCUAUCCCAGGCUCAAACCCAUAAUAAUAAGAAAUCAAAUGUAAUCCUCAUUAAUGUUUUGACUGAAAGACUGAAAAGUAAAAGUAAAAGUAGCACAGAAACAACAGUCUCCUACCUAGGUAGCUCCUUCCAGCACAGAAGAAGUCACCAAAGAUAGUACAGUGGUAAACGUCAUGGAGGAAAACCACGAAGCUAAACCACGCCGCACCAAUCGAGUGAAGGACAAAAAAAAAUGACGCUGUGGCACUUCUGCUCUAAUUGAAUGCAGCACAAAAAAAAAUGUCGCGAUACCUGUCUGGGAACCACGCGCAACACAUGUGGGAUGGCAACCAAGAUGAAACUAAACCAAAUAUCUCUUUGGCUCUUAUACUAUAUAUGUUGAAAAGAGUAAUAUGUCUUUGCAAAUAAUCUAAAAACUUCAUCAAUAAGACUUGGUUUUUGCUUAUCUUUACCAAGAUUUUCAAGCUAAAAGUGCCGAUGAGAAAUGUAUUGAUACAAAGGGCUUCUACAUAUAUAAAUUACAGCAAAUGGCCAAAAAAGUCAAAAAACUAUUUAGAAAUCCUUAUUUUGGCUAUGAAUUUUAUAAAAAUAAUUUACAUAUACUGAAAUUUUUGUUUAAAAUAAUUAUUUAACUAAUAAAAAGUAUAUUUUUGGUCACUCAACUAAUAAAAACUUUUAUUUUAGUUACACAACUAAUGAUGAUAUAUACUUUUGGUCAUAGAAUGUAUGUUCUAAUUAGUUGAAUGGCUUUUUUGGCUAGAUAAAAAGUUUAGUGGUUGAAAUAGGAAAUCCUAAAUAAUUUAGUGACAAGAUGUAACAUAUGCUCUAUAAAUUAUGCUACAUUUUGUAUUCAAAAUAGAUUCAAGGACAUGGUAGCAUAGAUGUGUUGUGAAAAUUCGUGGGCAUAAAAAGACCUCAAGAUCAAGAUUUUGGCAAAACCGAUUAAGAACCAUGAUAUUUUCUUCUGCCACCUCUUUAAUUUUAACCAUUCUUCUCCAGAUGACUGAAGAGGUGGGUGUGACUUGAAAACAAGAAAGGUGAAGUUGCCAUGUUUUUAAAAUCAGGUUGUCAAGUGAAUCAGAUGAACUUUUGGUUCAUAACUCGAACCGGUUGAAUCAGUUCAAUCCGAUUCAAACAUUUUUCUAAUUUUUAAUUUUUAUUUAUUAUGUGGAUGGGAUGACUUUAAAAUUAAAAAGAAGGAAAUUUUAGUAUGAACUAAUUCAAAAGUUUGGUUUUGACCGAUUUGACCAAUUCUUGACCAGAUUUGACUAGUUUAAUUGAUUUUAUAAUUUUACUAAUGAACCAAACUAGUGCCAUGACCGGUUCAUGGUUCACUGGUCAAAUCGGUUUGGUUUUCAUGACACUGGAAGCUAUUGGCUUCACUACAACAAAGUAGUGCUUUUGCGAUGCAUUGAGUAUGACAAAUAGAAAGAGUGCCAUACUUAGGGAUGUAAAUAAGUCAAGUUUAAUAGAGUACCUUGCGAGUUUAAUCGGUCAAAGCUUGAGUUUGAGCUCAUAUUGAUCGAACUCAAGUUUCAGUUCGAGUAGCUCAAAUCGCUUGACAAGCUUAAGUUCAAGUUUAAUAUGCAAAACUCAAAGGCUUGUGAAGUUUAAUCGAGUUCAAUCGAGUUUUACACAUGCAUAUAUAUACAUACAUAUAUAUUAAUUUUUUAUUUAUUAGUGUGACAUAUCUAUCUUGUCCCUAGUUUAAAAUUAUAUAAAAUAUAAAUUUAUAUUAAUUAGACUCAAUUGGCCUUGAUUACACUUGAUUGAGCUCAACCGGAUCUGAUUUGAUCAAACUCGAGUUUGAACUCGUGAAAGGCAAAACAAAAUCGAACUCGAGUUCGAUUUCAACUUUCAAAAGCUCGACAAGCUUGAACUCAAGUGGUGCAUUGUUCGAACUCGAUUCAACUUGAUUACACAUUUAGUUGCAUCAACACAAGUUGACUCAUUCGAUAAAAGGGAAAGGUAUAAACGCACCCAAUCAUUUUCAUUCCAAAGAAAAACAAAAAAGAGUAAAAAAAAGAAAAAAGAAAAAGGAAAGGGUGCUGCAAACCAUGGAAGAAGCUCCGUGUCGUAGAAUUUGCGGUAAUAAAAGCCUUUAUUGCAAGAACAACUUGCAUGGUGGAGUGAAGUACUCAAGUGAAACGACAACGUUGCUGUUAAGUUAAUAAUGCCAAAAAACAAUUCCCUCACAAGGAGAGACAUCGUUUUAAUUUUAUCAUUUUAUUAUUAGGGAUAAUUGCAGAAACCUCCCUUGAGGUUUUUGAUGCUAGCACUCACCUCCCCUAUGAUUUUUAAAAUUGCACUUACCUCCCCUAGGAGGAAAUUGGACCUAUUACUAACAAUAAAUUGUAUGAUUUUACUUUUAUACCCUAACUAAUUGCAGAACUUAAUGAAAGGAUUUUAGAAAAGAAAAAUUAUUUUUUGUCAACAAAUUAAGUGACUAAUUAAAUUAGAUUACCUAUGAGUUUUAGCAUCACUAGCCAUUAUAAGCAAAACUAAGGAAUGAUGCCAAUUAAGGGGAGAAAAAUGGCGUACAUGUUUCUAUAUUAUGUUCUUCAAACCAGCUAGUUUAAGUCUAAUUUUGUACAAUUGUAGAGAGAAAGGCCAGUACGCAAUUCUGGAGUUUCUACUAAAAUAAGUAUAAAGAGAACUUGCAAAAAUAUAUCUGCUCAAAUCAUUUCUAUUUCAAAAUCUCCUCUAGUUUAGCCUACUACUAUUUCUCAAGUUGCUAUAUCUCUUCCCAUUAAUAUAGUUAUAACCCUAUAAUUUGGAAAUAUUAGCAACAGCAGCAAUUUUAGUACGUGGUUCUAAUGCACUUACUGCAAUUUUCAUUUAUUAAAGACAACUUUAUCUUAUUAGUAAGCACUUCUAAUUACUUGUAACUAGGCUUAUCUCAUGCUCAUUAACUUUUAGUGAUGCUUAUGUAUGCUGUUAAUUAACUAAUUGUUCAACGAUAUUAUAUAUAUAUAUAUAUAUAUAUAUGAUUGGUGUUGACAACAUAAGUAGUUGUGUUACCCCUACAAAUAGCUAUUCAUAUUACUAAUAAAGAGUUUUUAAAAGUGAUGUGUAUUCUUUAUAAAUUUUGCUGCGAGAAAUUGGAUAUAUAAUCAUUUAACUACCUGUUAGUAUCCACCGUUGUUUCAUGUAUUGUUGGUAAAUUUCAUUCAAUUGCAUUUACACCCCUUGAAUUUUGUUAAUUCUUAAUAGGUUUUCAUAUUUUGUUAUUUCUCCAUUAAUAUAACUUGGCAAGCAGCAUGAAGGGCAAAUCUGGUACAAAUUUUUCAUCUCACUCCUUAAAAAUUUUUUGGAAAAAUGACCUAUUUCAUCCCUUGCAUUUCAUAAAAAUAUUCUUUUCGUCCCUCACUUUUAAAACGAAGCAAUUUGGUCCCUGACAUUUAAAAAUUAAACCUAUUACAUCCCUGAACCUUAUUGUCAAUUUGAAUCAAACCAUCCAAUAACCCAGUAAUAAAUUUCGGAAAUAGAAUUGAUAGAUCAUAUUCAAAUGACAUUUAUUAAACCAAAAAAAAUAAAAAGGAUAACAUAAAAGAUCAUUCUUUGUCUUGGAAUAAUAGGAUUUCUUUUUUGGAUAAAUCUUUUCAUGUACCGUUAGUAUAUACGCUUGUGUGUCUACAUGUAUAUCAUAAAUACAAAAUUUGGUGUUUAAUAUGGCAGGUACAUAAACCCAUCAGUGUAUACAAUGACAAUGUAGGAAAGAUUAAUUCUUCUUUUUUAUGUUAUAAUUUUUUAUUUUUUAUUUUUGGUUUCAUUAAAUUUCACGUGAAUAUCAAGUUGAGUUAGUCAAAUGAUCUACCAAUUAUACCCCCAAAAUUUGUAAUUAGGUUAAUAGAUGGUUUGAUUUAUAUUGAAAAUUGGGUUCAGGGAUGUAAUAACUUCAGUUUUUAAAUGUCAAGGAUGAAAUUGCUUCGUUUUAAAAGUGAGGGAUGAAAAGAAUAAUUUUGUGAAAUGUGAGGGAUGAAACCGGUCAUUUUUCCAAAUUUUUUUUAAUAGUAACUUUUCCAUGGACUGAAUUUGCAACACAAACCUUAAGUUCAAGGAUAAUAAGUGCUAUUUUCUAAAUUACAAGAGAGGUAAAUGCUAGUAUUAGAAACCUCAGGGGAGGUUUCUGCAAUUAUCCCUUAAUAUUAAUAUUCCUAGUAACUCCCGGAAACAAAUCUCGUAGUUCAGUCUUCGGUGUCCAGUCGUCUCCAGUCCACCAUCACACUCCGGUCCGGUGUGUACGAAUUUCCCGAAUAACGACAAACAAUACUACGAAAAAGAAAAGAAAAAAAAAGGUACCAAUUUUGAGUUCCGACUUCGGCUUCACUUCCAUCAGUUCUAGGUGGGCAGCGGGGGAGAAACAAUUCAGAUUUCAUUGAUUCCCCUGGUAAAAAUUUUUUGUAUUUUUGCUGCGGGAAGUUUAUAAUUUCAGAACAAAUGCCUUUAUAAUUUCACGCUAAAUUCUGGUAUUAUCAAACGUUGUCACCGAUUCCAAGGAUUUUUGUGCGUUUUUGUUGUUGUUGAUUGAGAUUUUAUUCUGAAGUUAUACAAAUUUGAGCUUCAUCUUCUUUUCCUACAUAGCUGCAUUCUGAUUCAGGCAUUUUGUUUUUUGUUUUUGUUUUUUCUUUGACUCAGUAGAGACUUCAAAACCUGGAAAUUACUAUAGGAAAAAGCAUUUAAGUUGGAAAUAAAUUUAGCAUUAAUUCAAUAAUAAGGUGAGAAAGGUGUUAGGGUUAACACUGAAGCUAGUAUAAGUUUGCAGGGUGUCAUUUUCUAAACUGGCAAUAAAUUUCGUGAGGAUUAAUAGUUUCUUAAUUCUUACUGUUAAUAGAAAAUUCUUCUAAUUUCAGGUAGAUGAAUAAUUUCAGCUUCUCUUUACCUCGUUGUUCCUGCUAUUCUUAUGCUUCAUAGGUAGACAGUCGGCGAUGAAAGUAGUUUGACUUAGUUGGUAAGCAUCUGAUCUGUUGUUAAAAUUCAUUAAUGCUAUUUUAUCAUUUUUUUUGUGCUUAUUUGUUGUGAUUUCUUGUUCUGGUUUAUGAGAAUUAGGGUAAUGAAAUUUGGAGGCAUUCCUCUGAAUUCUUGAUUCGGCUUUAAGAGUCUUUGUCUUGUAGUUUUCGAUUUUUGUCUGGGGAGUUUUAUUAAGUUUCUGAUUACGUUUGUUCAGAAUUUAUUAUUAUUAUUAUUAUUAUUAUUAUUAUUAUUAUUAGUUAAUUAUACAUAUCUUUCUGCCAAGGUGGAAAUAGCAGAAUUGUAACUGUUGCUAAGUGAGUUUUAUUCAUUUCUACUUUUUGAAGUUGAUCUUCAUCAUUGCUGUCUGAAGGCUGGGAUGAUAGAGAAUAUAUUGAGGAUCCAAACAAUGUGAAGCGUGAGGUAUUGUGUUCCCACACGAACUUGAUUUAUUUAUUUAUUCAUCUACAAGUACUGCACGUGAACUCAAUACAUUUUGAGGAUCCAAACAACGUGAAGCCUGAGGUAUUGUGUUCCCACACAAACUUGAUUUAUUUAUUUAUUCAUCUACAAGUACUGCACGUGAACUCAAUACCUUUUGAAUUUUCUUGGCACUGUUGGGAUAUGACUCAAUUCCCGAAGAAGAUAAAGAAUCCUAUCUACAAAGGGAAGUGGAAGAUUCCUUGGGUUCGAAAUCCAGGUACAUUAUGAGCAUACUCACUCGUAUUCUUGGACGCACUUGAGAUGAUUCACAUAAAAUAAACAUUCCAGUUAAUAAGUUUAAAAGCUUGUUCAGUUGGAAGAUGUUAAUGCCAGAAAGUAAGUUGAGGUGAAGAUGAUGAUUUUACCAAUUAAUCAGAUUGAAUUAAUCAUGCUAACUAAAUCUUAUUUUUUGGCAUCAUUGAAUUUAAUCGUUUUUUCUGGUUUUUUUGGACCCCUUAAGUUUGAAUUAGGCAGUAGUCAUGUAGCUAAAUUUAGCAAAAGUCAUUAAUACAUUCCUAGAUGAUUGUAUGUAUCUACAAGUUGAGCACAAGUGUAUAAACAGAUUGGAUAAACAGACUUACUGUGCUUUCUUUACAAGUAGGUUGAGCUAUCUUCAUGAAUUGUAAAGAUCAAGGAACAAAUUUUCUAAUAGACUAUCUUAUCUUCUCAUAAAUUAAGUGUUCCAUGUAAUUUUUAUAGAUAAACGAACUUACUUUGUUUUAUUGUUCUUAGGUGUUAAUAGUUCAAAUUUUGAAUUCCAGUUGCCUAGGCAGUCAGACGUUUGUGUUUAGUGACCUUCCCAGAUUGCUUGCAGUUUGGUUUCACGGUUUCCUAGCUCUAUGUAAACACUACUCAAACAUAGUUUGUUUACUUCUUAGAAUAACUUUCCUUCUGCUCUUAUUUACUGCCUGAUUUAUUAAUAUCUGCAUCUAACCUAUGGAACCUACAUGCUUACUGUUGUUUUCAGCUUCUUAGUUUUGGGUACAGUCUACUUGAUGGAAUACAAGGUGUCAUAGGAGACCUGCAUUCAAGUUCAAGCUUGGGCAAGGUAAAGAUUAAUGAAGUUGAUCUCAGGUUAAUAUGAUUGUUAGGUGCUUUGUGUUCUUUUCCCUUCAGCCAUGUAAGCUAAGGUGGAUUAAUCUUGUCUUAGUCAAUUUAGUUUUGAUUAUUAUACUAUAUAGGAAGUUAAAAAGAGUAUCUUCAGAUUUUAAGUAGUUAUGCCAGCCUUUACGUCUUGAAUUGUUGCUUAUUUGUUGGAUUUUAAUCUUCUGUGUGACAUAUAUUGCCUUGUCUGAUAGGUUUUGAUUUGGGUCUGGGUGAAUAGUAGUGACCAUGGUGAGGGAACAUGGAUGGCAGUUACCGGCACACACCUUUCAGGUAUAAUUCAACUUUUUCCCCCCUUUUUCUGUUUCCUUGUUCAGGAUGGAUCAUCUUUUGCAAUCAUACUGCUGCUGUUGCUACUAGACUCUUUGCUUUCUUCUUCUUUUCCUCAAACCUACAAACAAUGUUCCUAAUAAGUUGCUCGUCUGUUCCUUAUUUGAAAACUUUAGAAACUGGUGAUCCCGAGACUCAUAGGAUCAAUAUAGUUUUGCAAGGAGACUAGAGGUCAAAGCUUUCAUUUCAUUGGAAAAUUUGCAAGUCAAUUACUAACUGUACAGGAGAAAAAUUGUGGAAACACAUUGUAAGAUUGAACAGAGAUAAACUCAUUAUAUAGCAAAUAAUUCUAUCUCUUACAUUGAUUAAGGCAGCUAUUUGUGGAUAUAAAAAUAAAAAAUUAAGAAAAACAUUAAGCACACCACUGUGAGCAUCAUUUAGCUUGAUAGAGAGGUUAAAAGUCAGAGUUGAUGCUAAUAUGACAAAGUUACACUAACAAAUGAUAGAAAUGGUUUGUUCCAUUAGCAUAAGUAGGCCUUAAAAGAAGCAUAAUGGAAUGACAGAUAGAGUAGCUGGUUUGUGAUUUUUUGGAUAAAGUUCCUAAUUGAGUUUGAGCUGGUGAAUGGUUGUGAAUCUUUUAGCUCAUUUCUCACCCCUGUAUCUAGCUUGAUUUUCUGCAGCUGUCUCAGAAAUGAAAUAGUACUUUUUUUCAUGGAAGGAACAUUUGCAGUCCUUGCAAAGGAUGAGAGAAGCUGUACACAACUUGUAUUUACUAUUUUUCCCCCUCCCAUUAAAGCAGAUAUUUUUUCCCCUCUGUUGGGACCAUAAAAAAUUAAUUCAUUUAAGGAGAUUUAUUUUGUGAUACAAUAUUGAGCAGAUAUCUUAUUACUGUAGUUGGAGAACUUGAUAUUCAGGAAGAAUGCAUCAUCUGUUACUCCCGGGAUUGGUUUCACUAGUCAUGUCUUUACCUUGAUGAGGAUGCCAUAAGCCCCAGUUUCAUUCAAUUUAACUUCCUCUGGGUCCUAUACAUUUAAUAAUACAAGAGAAAGUCUCAAUGUUUUCAACUCAAGGAUUUUUGCUAUUUGCUUAUGUGCUAGAGCUAAGCCAAACCUGAUCCUUUUUCUACAGACUGUUUACCUUGAGUUGUUGGCUAUUCCCUCUGAAACAUCUAUUGUUGUAUUGAUGGAGAUAUAAGUUUAGCUUUCGGUUGUUAAGAAAUUGUUUGCUAUACGUGGUUCCAAUACUGUCUGUUUAGGUUUUGCCAGUGUUGUAUAUGUUGAAAUGUGUAGUUGAAGCACCCUGUUCCCCUUCCUCUUUACAUUUUGGUCUGGAUAUUGUCAAUUACUGUCACAUCUCCUCCAUUUAUCUUGGUACUAUUUCUUUAAGUAAGAAAACAAAAAAUCAUUUGUCCUGUGAUUUUAAGAGUUUUCGAUGGUAGCUAAUUUCAGGUUAGGAUACUGGAACAUGGCAUUCAUAUAUUUUUUCCUGACCUUAGUGAAUCCAAGUCUUGUUGUCUGGUCUUGACACUUUAAAUCUGUUCCAUUAUUAUGUGCUUUUAAUAUCUUGUAAUUGCAAUUUUGGAGCCACAAUCAAGUGUUUAAAUACCACCAAAUUGGGUGAUGUAGAAUUGUGGCAUAUAUGGUUUGAUAGUUUGUUUAGGUUUGCCUAGUGUUUAUCAUGUUCAAUUACAAAGUUAAAUUACUUGAUUCCCCUUACCACCAUAUGUUGGUGUAAAGUAUUCCAAUGUAACUCUUGUUCCCUGGAUUCAUCUACUUUCUACACUCAAGCUAAAUGCAAUCUAUGCUGUAGUUUGACUUUUUUUUUCUUAUGACACCUGAUGGGAUAUAGGAUACAAGAAUGUCAUGAAUUUUUCCUAACCUGCGCCAAAAGCAGCCUAGUUGACUGGUUUGAAUCUUCUUUUAUUCUUUCUAAAGUUGCUAUUUUUGGUUUGUUUGUCUACUUGGUCAUAUGAUACCUAAGUGUUGAAGUGUGAUCUGUUCAAACCAAGUUGUUGGUUAACUAAUUUUGGAUCUGACAAGAGUAUGGUUCUACUUCAAUUUUAUGUUAAAAACAAUAUGGCAUGAGCCUAAAUACAAACUUUUAGUGAAUCACUCUAUUUUUGAAAAGAAAAGAGACUGAAUAUUGGCUAAGCUGACAAAUAGUUGUCCUUCUACUGUGAAUAGGACAUGGAGAGAAAAGAGAAUAAGCAAAAAAAAGAAAAAGUCUGAAGGGAGAAAACUAAUACUAGAAAUUGAGUAUUCUAAACUAGCAGAAAGUUUCUUUACUUCGUUUAUAACUGGAGAGAAGAUAUCUUGAAAUAAUAUGCUUCCUUCUAAUUUGAUCAAUGUAUUGCUGGCUUGACAGUUCUGGCAGUGGAUGCUUACUUCCUAAUUGUGCUGUCUUUCAGUAUAGUGUUAAUGUUAUGAAUCACUUCAGAUAAAAUACUGAGAGUUACUUCCAAUAACACAUUGAGAGGUGCCUCAAACAAGAUACGUGCUGCAGAUAUAUCUGUUAGGAUUACGUUUUGCAUCAUCGUGGAUUACAUGCAUAUUUGUAUUUGCAUAUUUGAAUUCCAGUGUGUUGCUUUACUUUCUAUAUUUGCUGACCACUUACAUUAAAUCUGUGGACUGUUUAACUUCUUGGACAGGUGGUUGCUAUUACAGUAUAUUGCUUAUUAGUGGUUGCAUUUUUCGCUUUUUUUGCUCCUUUCCUCGGACGCAAUAUUUGGGAGUAUGCAUUGGUUGCUGGUUAUUCUCCUGUGGUAUGUAACUUUGUUUUGUUUAUGCAUAUUACGUAGUUACAAAACAUGCUCCACUCGAGCAUAUGUUGGGACCUGAAUUGACUGUUUAGGCUACAGAUUUUACUCAUACUGGUAGUGUUGAAAGGCCAAAUUUCUUUCCUGUUUGAAAGAACCAAGGCUGACCUCCAUACGUCUUAUUAAGCUUGCAUGUGCCUCAGUGUUUGGCUGUCUUCAUUUGCUAUUGACUGUCAAUGCUUUUAUUAUUUGUACUAUUCCAAAGCGAGCCAUUAAAUUUCCCUCUCCCUCUCCCUCUCUCUCCCUAUCUCUCUCUCUCUCUCUCUCUCUCUCUCUCUCUCUCUCUCUCAUUUGUUAGAAUUUUAGGCGGUGCUUGGUUCAUGCUUUGGAAUUGGAGCUGGAAUGAAAUAUCUAUGAAAUAAUAAAUAGAAAAUAAUUAUGGGUUUGAAUUAGUGGCAUCAUUCUAAUCACUAGUGCUUGGUAUAGACAUAUUUGGAAUGGGUGUCAAAAUUAAUUUUUUAUUUAUUUUUUGCUGGACUUCAAAAUUAUUAAUCCUGAACCACCACUGCUCAUCAUAAUGAGACCACCCCCAAUCAAAACUUCUUUUGUUCUUUGUUUUGCAAUCAUCAAUGGAAAUCCAUGACUAAUCUAUAUAAAAUCUGGCAGAUGGUCUUUUUAUUUUUCCUUUUUUGAAAAUUAGCAAAUGGAACUUUAAUUAAAUAAACCAAAUUCAAUCCCUCAAAGGAGGAGCCUCGAUGAUGGGGAGAGCAGAGAGAGGGUAAGUGAUGGAGAAAAGGGAACAGUUUAAGACAUAUUUUCUUUCUUUGUUUUUUUAUAAUUGUUCAUUUGUUCACUAUUAGGAUUAAAUUGAGGGUUUUGGGCGAUUCCUCCGAAUUUGGUCGGGAAUCAUGAAUCACCAAUUCUUUAGCCAUGAUUCCAAUAUUUCAAUUCCCGUUGUACUGGACCAAGCAGUACAUAUUGGAAUGAUUGUAAUCAGCCCCUUAGUUCUUGGCCUUUCUGGAAUUCUGAAGACAUAACUAAACUGAAAAUUUUGAGAGAAACGGUUAAGUUGUUAGUGAUUGGAAAAGAACUAGCACAUGUGAUGCGACUUGACUUGUUUAUAGAAAUGAGUCAUGAUAUGUGGAAGUUGUGGAAAUUUAGAACUGUUUUUAUAGUAGAAUAUAGUUUAGGGAAGAUGCUGACUUUAUUUGCAAAUAUAACUCCAUUUUGACUUUGGUGAAACUAGAUUUGAAUGUAUUGCACACAUCCUCUCCAGGAUCUAGAUAACUCCGUUCUGUUUUUUUCUUUUUUGGCAUGUCAUUUCACUGUUGUUAAAUUUAAGAACUUUAAAUUAUUUGACUAUACCUGAAAUUAACUAAAUGGUUCAACUCUGACAAAUUGGCCUAGUACAUGGUUGAAUGCCUGGCGAAAUUCGAUAUCCACAUCCUUUUAUAGUGCUAACAGUCAAUCUGGGUUCAUCACUACUGUGCACUGAUGUCUUGGACCUGGAUACAUAAAUAUGAAUAUGCUGUUUUUCCUUUUCUGGAUAUCGUAUAUGACAAUUUUAAAGAGGUGUUGGUAUUUUUUAUUUUUUCCAGUUUCCUGUGAAGAUUUCUUAGUUUCUAUAGCUUAAGCAUUACUUUAGUCACUUAUUUUUGUUGUCAGCUUUUCAGCUACUAUAUGUGGUAAUAAUGAACUUUAAUGUGGAUUGUUAUGUGGUAAUAAUGAACUUUAAUGUGGAUUGUUUGCUCUUCUUCAUGUAGGCGACCCUUGUAUUUGUUCUUUAUGUUCGGUGUACUGCAAUUAAUCCUGCAGAUCCUGGCAUCAUGGCUAAAUUUAAUUCUGAGCCAAGAAAUAAAAUCAGCAUAAGCAAUGGGCUAUCUGCUCAGGAUUUGCCUCAAAAAUUCGAUGAACAUAGUGUUGGGGCUCGUUCUUCUGUAUCAUCACCUUCAAGAAGUUCCGUUCCUGCAGCUAACUCCAGUAAGAGAGCUUCAUUAGAAGCUGGGAGUACUAACAUGCAAGUUACAUCUCCAACCGCGAAGUCAUCUUGUUGGCAUCCUGGGAAAAUCUUUUGUGCAGUGUUUGUACACGAAGAUUGCUGUAAUCAGGAUGGCAUAGAUGAUCCAGAAGGUGCAGGCGAAGAUGCCUUGUUUUGCACAUUGUGCAACGCUGAGGUAGCUAAUUUUGUUUGGUAUACAUUUCCUUGAUGGAAAUAACUCAUUUCCAAUACUCUUCCAAUCUUGCUUUUCUACAUCCCUAUUGUAAUGGAAAAUGCUUCUGAUGAACAUAGCUAAAUUUCAAGUAUACCAAUCCAUUGCAAAACUAAGAGAAGGUUUAAAAAAAAAAGAGAGGUACUCUUAACAAAUUCCAGUACUCAUAGCAAAGUUACCUCAACUAUAAAUGAUCUAAUAUGAAUGUUCAUACACGGGACAAAGUUUUAAAAAGCAAUUUGAUGAUUGACAUAAAGUCAAAGUCAUGUCUAAAAAGAGCUAGUUUCCUAUUCUUUAAUCUCUCUGCCUAGAUUUUCAUAGAAACAUGAGUAAGCUAAAAACUUUCAAAACUCCUAAUUCCUAUUUUAAAAUUGAAAGCAAAAUUAGUUAUAGUAAUUAUUUAGGAACUUUCCUAUAAGACUGACUCCAAUCAAUUAUCUAAUAUAACAAAUAAUUAAAAGACACUUGGUAACAUAAUGGCUGGAAAUUUCCUGUGAACAAGUAAAAGACCAAACAAAGCCUCAAGACCUAAAAGUCUAGAAGCUACUAAAUCUCGGGAAAUAAAUUAUGAUGAACAUGAAUAAAGAUAUUUAACUAACAUAUUCUUGCUCCCAAUUAGGCUGCCAAUCUUCAACCAAUGCUAGUGAAGCCUGAGGAAAAUCACAAAAGUUUUUAAUUUUUAGAUGUCCUUGAACUCUUUGUUGACUGUAUUAUAACUGCCAGAGUGUAAUCCUUUGGUAGUAUUCAUCUUUAAUGUUCUGGCUCUUGCUACAUGUGUACAAACUUAUGUAAUUUGAUAGGCCAAACCUAUAUGGAUGGUUUCAUUCUGCAGUCAGAGAGUAAUUUGCAACCACUUGUAACUGCUGUUCUACUUAAUGUGCCAUAGUCAGUGGACUUGCUUUAUAGUCAUGGGAUUUCUAAUUCACAAUUCGAAACCAUUUGAUCUAUAACUAUUUUGAGUGCCAUUCCUUGCCUAUAUUUUAUCUGUAAAAGUUCUGGAUACCACUUGGUGUUGAUAAAAUUUCUAUAAUUUGUGCCCAUGCAACAAACAUGAAUGCCUCUUUAACUCUAUGCUUCGGCUGCAGGUACGCAAAUUCAGUAAACACUGCAGAAGUUGUGAUAAAUGCGUUGACGGAUUUGAUCAUCAUUGUCGGGUAAAUUUUUUUAGUUUUUAUGGUUUCUGGGGAUAUACCUCAAUUAUUUUGUGGACUCUAAAUUUUGAAUGUUGAUUUUCAGUGGCUCAAUAACUGCGUUGGUCGAAAAAACUAUGUAACUUUUAUAGCACUAAUGGCCCUGAGUCUCUUUUGGGUAAGUUUGGAGUAUUAUCUGGUUCAUUCGUAUAUUUGUUCUUAUACUACUGAUCUCUCUCUCUCUCUCUCUCUCAGCUUGUUAUUGAGGCUUCAGUGGGGAUUGCAGUUUUAGUGCGUUGUUUUGUUAACAAGAAGAACAUGGAGGCUGAAAUUGUUGAUAGACUUGGAAAUGGUUUCUCUCGUGCCCCAUUUGCCACUGUUGUGGUAAUAUUUUAUCAAUUUUAACUGGCAUAAGAUGAAUUUUUUUCCUUCUCUUUGCAUUUGAUUCAAAUAUAGUUAGCAAGUUAUCUAUUCUGAUGCAGGCAGUGUGCACAGCUGUUUCCAUCCUUGCUUGUGUACCCUUGGGCGAGCUUUUCUUUUUCCACAUGAUACUGAUUAGAAAGGUCAGUUGCCUUCAGAUCUACUUUUGCUGUUAAAAUUUAGGUAGAUGAAUUAUGUUGGUUAUGCUUUGUGUUAGGGUAUUACGACUUAUGAAUAUGUUGUGGCAAUGAGGGCUAUGAGUGAGGCACCGGCUGGGCCAUCUAUGGAUGAGGAUCUGCCAAAUAUUAUGUACUCGCCAACGGGUUCUGCUACUACAGGAUUAAGUGGUGGAAGUUCUUUGGGCUUGCAAUACAAAGGUGCAUGGUGCACCCCUCCAAGGGUGUUCGUUGAUUAUCAGGUAUAUUACCUACUUACCUGCAAAUUACUGCAAAAACAGGAUAGAUUGUCUUGAUACCAAGGGAAACAUCUUUCACAUGGUUAAUUUCAUAACUGCAGCAUUUAGGGUUUAUUUUUAUGUGCAGGGAUUUACUUGAAAUUAAAGAUUUUCAGGAACAGCUGAAAACAAAAUUCUUGUUCCAGCUGCUAUGUGAUAGUUAAAGUGGUUAUUUAUGUUUUAUAUUUGGUUUACUUAAAGGACAGAGAUUCUGGAAUUUUGCAAGUAUCAUAAUCUUAAUAGAGUACUCAGUCCCUCAGUUUGCUUAGAGAAAAUGUUGAUUAAGUGGUCUAAUAUUUCUAUUUGAACAGUGAUGCUUCCGAUUGUUACAGCAUUGAAAAAUAUCCUUUACAGAUUGUUUCCCUGACCGGCCUCCCCAAGCCGCAAAUGACGUAAGAAGAGCAAAAUAGAUGGCUGAGAUGUGGAGAAAUUAAUUAUUAAUUGAAGAAAUGUUCUUGUUCCUGGCUUUAGUUGCUCUGAAAACUUAGGAUCUGAUAUCAUAUUUCGUGUAACUGACCUUAUGUACAAUGUCCAUCUAUUGGCGCCCUUACUGUCAUGCAAGAGAACUUAUUUUGCUGUGGUUGAGUUGAUCUUUGCAAAUUCUGUUUAAAGAACUUAUUGAAACUGUUGCCUGGUUUUUCUGCAUCAAUUGAAAAUAGUAAUUGAAGUAAGAAACUCGGAUUGAAGUUCGCACAAGUAUUGGUUUGUUAUAAUGUCUGUAGGAUCACUGAUGGAAUUUUUUAUUCGUUGGUUUUCUUUUAGCGUACAAAUUGACUGACAUUUUCUUUUUUAUUGGCUUUUGGAUUCAUAAAUCUUACGUUUUAGCAUAAAUGCCUUGCUAUUGCAGUUACUACUUCACAAUUGAUUAAAUAUCAGUAUUAACUUGUUAUUCUUUUUAGAACUACUCGUCUUUUUUAACUCUGCCUUUGAACAAUACAUAUAGGAAGAAGUAGCACCUCAAUUAGAACCUGGAAUGGUUCCGUCAACAAUUGAUCCAGAUGCAGCUGCAUUUGGAGAAAAGGGAAACAAAGUGCCAAAACGAUCUGUUCGGAUCAGUGCUUGGAAACUUGCAAAAUUAGAUUCCAGUGAGGCUGUGAAAGCAGCAGCGAAAGCCAGGGCAUCUUCAUCUGUAUUGCGUCCUGUUGAUAACCGUCGCCUGCCAGAUGCUGAAAUGAGCUCAAGUGGAAAUCUGAGCAUUAGUAGUAGUAUGAGCACUGACACUGUAGGAAAUAAGGAUAACAAAAAUGAACUGAGACUUUCUCCUUUGCAAAACUCAGUUGCUCCCAGUCAAGGUAGCAAGGAUGAGUAUGAAACUGGCACGCAUAGUGUGAGUAGCUUCAGUAGUCCAAGCCAUGUCCACGACCCUGUGACACUAAGCCCCCUUCCCCAAGCUCAUGGUUUAGGACAGGUUAAUGCAUCUAGUUCUACACUUGGCCUCGUCCCCAAGCAGCCUCUAGCCCCAAGAGUUGCUUUCCCACGGAUUGCUGACCCAACGCUUCAUCCUCCAUCUGGCACUGAUGUAAAGAUCAAUCAGAAGGUUAGUGCUUCUGACCCAUUAUUGCUUUCAGCUGCAGCACCUGCAACUUCACUACUACGAGAUAUUAAGAGGACAUCGGUUGUUUGGGACCAAGAAGCUGGUAGAUAUGUUUCUGUCCCAGUGUCAGCUUCAGAUGCACGUAGUAGAUCAUUUGUUCCUGGAGUGUCAAACACAAAUGCAGGAUUAAAAAAUAAUGACAAGCAGCCUGUUGCUGACCCGCAGGAAUCUUCACAGCUUACAAAUCUUCCAAUCCAACAGUCAGAGAGGUUGCUUUAUGCUGGGGAGUCCAUAUUUUUUGGUGGCCCACUUCUAAGUGGUCCAAUUAGGGAUGGUUUGAAGAGUGAGAGGGGCUUAGGGGCAAGAGAUGGACAGGAUAGGCUUCCAAUCAUCAUGCCUAAAGACACUAGAUAUAAAAGGGACUCUGUCUCAAACCAGUUGCCUGUUUUCAUUCCUGGAGAUUUUGACUCUAAUCCGUCCUCUGCAUCAGGGUUGAAGUAGGAUCUCAUAUGAACUAUUUGCAUAGUUUAUAUCUCCCUAUGCCCACGAUGGUCUAAUAUAGGGAAGUUGGAGAAACCUCCAAAAGAACUGCUCCCUCGUUCAACCUGGAACCUUGCUGUCGAUGGUAGUGAUUCUUGUAACCAAUGGCGAGGUUCUAGUGGUUUCUCCUUGUAUGGAUUUUCCCAUAUUAACACUGCAGAGGGUACAUUUGUAGGAUAAAGUCAUCCAAUUCCCACGAGCACUGAAUCAUUUUGCUUGUAAUUAAGAAUGAUUUGAGGGUUAUGGGAUUAAGACAAGCAAAAGGUUUGCCUUGUCUGGCUGUAACUUUUUGUUGAUACAUUCCAAUUCUUAUGCCAACAAAAAUGUUUCAGGUAGCAAUAGCAAAACGUACUAACUGCGUCACAUUUGGUUCAUCCUGAAGCUAAUUCUCAGUUAUUCAAUAACUUGAUGUCGCAUGUGUAGUUUAGCAUAUGAACCCGUCAAAGAUUGAAUGAUCUUAAGAACUGAAGGGAAAAAUAUAGAAAUAUAGCUUUAUUACUUGUUUUGUUCUUAUUGUAUUUUAAAACAAAUUGUCCAUCAAAACAUAUCUAAAGAUGUGUCAAAGGUGCCACGCUGAGCUAAAAGUUAAAGUUCUAAUCUAUCAUUAAUUGGAGUUUGAAGAAAUAACAUGAACAGUUUAAACUAGAAUGUAAUAUUUUAAAGUCAGAUUGCAAAUUGAGUGUCUUAGAUAUAGAGGUAAAUGACACUUUUGUUGGAUUGUCAUUGAGAUGGUUUCACUUUAUUAAUGUGCCAAAUAUGAGUGACACUUCAAUUUUGAACAUAAAUACUAAUGGUUUUUCAGUGUUGCCAUUCAAAAAAAAAAAAAGCUUUUUGUAACUAUCCAUUCAUAGCUAUUUUAAAUUUCAAAUUAAAUGGUUAUGCUGCCUGUAUACACAAAGUUAGUUUAUUUAGAAAAAUUGAUUACAUGUCUUCGUAACGAGUAAGAUUUUUCAAAAAAAAAAUCCCAAAUUAUGGGGAAGGUGGGAGAACAAGAUCACAAUAGUCCAAAUAAUAAUGAUUCUGCUAAAAGUGAGAUUGAAUUGGUAAAUUGGGAGCAUAGAAUUAUAAGAUGGAAACGGUAGAUUAAAAUUCUAACAGUCAUAGCACACAAUAAAACCUGCUGAAGAAGAUGAUCGUACACUGCCUUAGGUUUCGUGUGCCUUCAAAUCGCAAGGGGCAGUCCUAUUUAUAUAUAUAGGAUGCAUUGGUGAACCUCAUAUGCCAAGUGUACAGUCUUUGAUUUAUUCUUAUUUGAUCUAGCUCGUAGAAACGACUAAAAACAUUCAAGUACCUCCACUACAUUUACAAUCCACUAGCAUAUACCUUUGUCCACUCUACUACCUGUAUAAUCUACCAGCUGGACCAAAACAUUGAGAUUGCCCAAGCUACCUUGUGAGCGUACAUGUUUUGUUGAGCUCUCUGCUAAUUCUAUUCCAAGAUUCUCAUCUCCUAACUAUCCAGAAGCAACCAGAGUUGUUAAUCCAAGGACAUUUGGCAUGCAACUUCAAUUCUAGAUAGAGAACUCCAAUCUUGUUCAAUAUUAAAGUGGGUUAAGAGGGAGGAGGGAUGGGUUGGGUGGCAUCAAAAAAAAAAAAGUAUAAAUGAGAGGGUCGGGAUUUGAGACCUCCUACUUACACGUUUAAAAAAAAAAGUGAGUUAAAAUCCCAAAAGACUCCCAAUCUAUCCAACAUUGAUAGGGUAUCAAUAAUAUAUAACCUAAAUAGAAAACCCAUGAUCCAUGGUGGGCUCAAGGCAUGUUAUAUCAAAUUUGAGCUUAGAUUCAAUUUUAAAGUUUCUUAAUCAUUCAUUUUAAAGUAUUUUUAAAAAAAUUUCCAAUGGAGGAGGGAUGAAAUUUAAGAAAUAGGAAAAGGGAAGCGAGAUUUGGUUCUAGGACCUUUUAAGUCCUAGAUGUAUAAACUAGCUAUGAAGAUAUAUUCGAUGUGUGUUCAACUAAUAGAAAAUGGGAUUUGUAAGGAUUAUUUCCAUAAUAAUUGAUUUUACAUUUUGAUAGCAAAUUGUAGAGAUAUUAGCGAGCCAAAAUUUGUUGAUGCUUUGUGAUUUUGCAGUUAAUAAUAUUAUGUUAUUCAAGAAUUUUUAGAUAAUGUGAAAAUGGUAGAGGGAUCGUAUAAUAGGUAAUAGAUCUUAUGUAGUAAAAUGGACGCAUAGGCAUUUUUUUUUUUUUAAUAUAAGUGAGGGAAGCAUACGUACUUUAUUUGUUGUUGGUAAAUAUGAGGAUAACUGAUUUAGUGGUUACUCAAUUAGUUUAUUAGUUGUAGUAUGUAAUGAGGGUAUUUGUAAAGUUGAAAGAUGAAUAAAAGUAUUCAUUACUUUCAAAUAACUAAUAUUGGAAACAGAUAAAAAGUUUAACAUCCACACAAGUAACUAGUUCUAUUAAUAAUUAACUAAUUUUAACUUCUAAGUUUGUAUUUAUAUGUAUGUAUUUUUAUUUUUAAAUUUCAGGGAAUGGAAAAAUAUUAUAUAAAGAAAAAAAGAGAAAAUUGAGACGAAAAAAGAAUAAAAAAUCAAAAUUUAGGAUAAAUCACCUAUGAAUUUCUUUUGGGGACAAAGUGAAAAUGAGGCCACGGUUUUAUAGGGACAAGUUGGAAAUUAACGCUUCCUCACGAUUUAUGAGAGCAAUUUUAGAAAUUAAGGCAUUAUCUAACAGUCAAAUAUAAUUUUGACAAACAAAGGAGGAAAAGUGUUGAAAAAAUAACUUUAUGGAGCAAACACAAACCUUAAGGGGAUUUGGCCCUUGUUUGAGAUUCCGAUGCUUUUGGUAAAAAAUCACAUUUAGAUGUUAAAAGUAAUUUAAGGCGUUUAGUAAACAUAAUCCCAUAAAAUUAGGAAUGAAACUUUUGGUAUGAAAAGCUUGUAGACACCAAAAUUUUAUUAUGUUAUUUUAUUUGUUCAUUUUCAGUUAAAAUAUAUUUUAUUUUUAUUUAUUUUGUUUCACUUCUAUUUUCGAGAAAAAUCAUUUUAGAAAAAAAAUAAAAAAGGACAGAAAAAGAAAAUUAGAAAGCAAGAAAAGAAAAUUCAUCAAAAUCAUUUUUUUGUAAAAAAAAAAAAUCUGGUCUUUGUCGGUGGGUUUGGGUUUUAUCCCACCGACCGUUUUAUUUUAUUGAGUUUAAGUUUUAUUCCACAAACCUUUUUCAUUUUCUAGAUUUAGGUUUUUUCAGUUACAAUUGAGCUAGACAAAUAAAUAAUUUGGUGUCUACGUCUUUGUCUUGACUUUCUGCGAAACUCAGACAAAAAUGGGCAAGUUGUAGACACCAAAAUUUUAUUAUUUUAUUUGUUCAUUUUUAUUUAAAAUAUAUUUUAUUUUUAUUUAUUUUGUUUCACUUCUAUUUUUGGGAAAAAUCAUUUCAGAAAAAAAUAAAAAAGGACAGAAAAAGAAAAUUAGAAAGCAAGAAAAGAAAAGAAAAAUCAUCAAAAUCAGUUUUUUGUAAAAAAAAAAAAAAAAAAAAAAUCUACAACCCACGCGCGCGCACAGUUCUUCUUCUUCAUCUUGUACCCGUAAACAGUACAAGAUGCCAUGGGAGCAAAUUCUGGUUCGAUUAUUUCCUUUCUUUUUUCCCAAGUUUUGCUGGUACUCACCUUGUGAAAUUUGUCCGGAAUGUCCUGGAACAAGAGCCAUCAAAUGGCUAUAAAAAGGGAACAAAAUAAGGGUUCAUCUUCACCCUUAAAAAGCAGGGUUUUUGUGGCUCCAUUCGAUAUAAAAAGGGGGCUAAGAGAGAACAAAAAGGGAGAGGGAACAAGAGAGGGGCGGCGGAGAUCAGAAAAGGAAAGAAAAAGGGAAGCAAAAAGAGAGAGAAAAAUCGAAGGAGAGAAGAAAGGAAAAUAGCAGAAAACUUCUUGGAAGACUUUGAGCCAGGGUUGAUUACGAGAAAUUUCUAAAAUUAUGAUAAAUUUUAAAAAAAUUCUACAAAGGGGGCAUUUUGAGUAUGGGAUUCCGUCGAGGGGUCUUCGCAUUCAGCAAAUACGAAGUCUCCUUGAAUUUUCGACCAACGAAAUCCAAAAAAAAAAAAAAUCAGACCUCGCAUCUCUUAAAUGUGAUGUCACUGAGAUGCGAGGUCAGUGGAAAGAAACAGAGCAUAGCCAUAUCUUUUAUACUGUUUCUGAGCAAUAGAGCAUAGCCACAAAUUUGAAAGCCAUUUGCCAAGCGAAAAGAAAAUGUGCAGCGCAAAUGGGACACAAAAUUGGUUGGGAAGUCCUGUUGAGGUAGUAAAAGUGGCAAAUUGGGAGAGGGGGAGAGAGGCGCAGCAGGCUAGCUUGGCAGAAAUGGGUUCCAAACAGGGGUUGAAGCUCUACAAUGGUGGAGAGCUUCCGACGAGAAAGAUGUGAGGGAUUCCGUCUGCCGAUCCUAGAAGCUACAAUUCUAUUGUCUAGCUCAGCAAAAGAGAAGAGAGAGUGAGCUCCAAUUUCUGCUGGUUAGGAGCAAAUUCUUUAUAUUUUUCUUAAAAAUGCCCUUUUAUUUGGAAAUUAUUAAUUUAUAAUAGCCCUACUACUCAAUCACCCCCAAUAAGUGUAAAUGAACCUAGAAAGUAGGGUUUCACUUUUCGAUUUCAAGUUAGAGCGAAUUAGGGUUUUCACGUUUUUCCGUAGUGUGACUAUUCGGUAUGGAGUGAGGAACAAAUUUGGUAGGUAAGAGUGACUUUUGGAUGAGGAAAUAUUAUAUGAUUAGAAGUGAUAAUAAUAAGUUAGUGAUUAGAAGGUAAAAACCCUAGUAUACGCAAUUUAAGAAAAAUCGGUUCAAACCGACGGGUAUCGAUCACUACCGAUUGAACCCACCACUUGACCACCACUUCCCUACCACCACAUACCCUUGAUAUUUGUGCAAAAUAUCCCCCCCCCUCAUCCUCAGCCAUAUGGCAAAAAAUUGUGGCCCAAAUGCAAGGAAAAGAAAGCAAAAUUUGGAUGGCUUUGGUGGUGACAAGUGUCGGCCAUCUAUGGCCCUUGACCAACCUUUUUGUCUUGCCUUCUUAUCUCUCAUUUCAGCUCAUUUUCCCUCAUUUUUUUGCUGGUUUGGCCGAGAGCAAGGAGAGGGAAGAGAGUGAGGAGAGUUCUUCAAAUUUUAACCUUGAAUCCAACCUUUUGAGUGCAACCAAGAAAAACUAAACCGAUUAAUCACUAGUUUGGAAGUUUGGGAAGUUUAAGGAACCAAAGAUUUCAAGGAGAGGUGAAGGAUCAUCCUUGCAAGCUUGUGUCUUGAGGUAUAAUGGCUGAUCAACCAUUCUUUCUCCUUUAAUCAUGAUUAAGUUGGGUAUUAAUGUUAGUAUUGUGCUUGUGAUGCUUGUUUCAAGUGAUUUUGAUGAUUAGAUGGAUGACUUUUGAGUUAGGGUUUCUUGUGGGUUAGGUGUUGUAUGAUGUAUAUAUAUGGUAUAUGAUCUUUUAAAGGUGAAAGUAGUGGUAGUUUCAAGGUAAAAAUGAGAAGUAUAGCUUGAAUAUAACAAAAUUCCAGAUUUCUGGAAAUUGUAGCUUCAGUUCUACCUGAUUCUAUUUCAUCAUGUUAGAGGCCGAAUUAGACUUAUUACAAAACAUGAAAGUUGUAGAGAAUGAUAUUUUAUAGUUGCCUACAAAAUUUUAGCUCAAUCGGAACAACGUAGCCUGUAAAAAGAUAAAAAUACCCUGACUGCCCUAGGAGUGAAGUCAGUGGACAGUCUUGACAGUACACUAAGUUGGUUGUGUUUGUUCACCUGGAUACGUACUGAACUAACUUUUAGUCAAAACAUGAAAGUUUUAGUACUUUGUCUUAGCUUUUUAACGCCUCCAAGAACAUCUUAAACGGACUUUGGUAGCUUGAGAUAUGGCCAUUUGAAGGUAGUACGGUUAACUGGCCGGUUAGUUAGAAUUUGUUGUGAAUUGGGAAUUUGACUGGGUUACACUAGAAUUUGGACUAAGUAAUCUUCAUCAAAAUUGUAGCCCUUUGUCUUAGUUUCGAAACGGUAUAAAUUUCAUCCCAAUCCGAUAAGCGCAGCUUCGGUUUUGUCCAUUACGUAAAAUUACGUCAAAUCUGUCUUUUGUUAAACCUCAUUCCCGCACAUGUCGUUAGCUUGAUUUUGUACUUGUAUGACCUUGAGCCUAUUGAACGGCUAUUGUGACGAGCUUAUAUAGUGUAUGACUUUGGUAUUGAUUGAGGAAAAGAAUGAAACCAUAAAGGGCUGGAAAAUAGGAAAAUACAAAGGGCGUGCUGCCCAAAUUUACGCUCAAGGGCUAGGUAGACAUACUUGCAACUUGAGUAAGGGUUAAGAGCGAUCACCACUUGAACUAUCUAGGAUAUUUGCGUCUUCUUUCAUCGAGGUAUAUCAGUGAGAAUUUGGCCGAACUUGUACCCUUGAGAAAUACAAUCAUGACUACUAGGAAUACGUUUUCCUUGUACUUUCGACUCAAAUGGCAUUUCCAAGUAUAAAUGUUAUAAAGUUACAUAGUUUGAAAAGCGAGCGAGUGUUUUACGAAUAUUCUCCAAGUGAAUUUCCAUUUCUUGAUUCUUAUGGAACGAAACGUCUAAGUUUCGAAUCUUAGUCAUGUUUCAAAGUUCUCAAAUUGAGUUUUAUCGUAGAUUUGGACUCCAAACCCGGAGUACAACCUGAAAGUGACAACUAAAGGCACUAUAUCUUUUGGUGAGUGUUUUCAAAUACCGAAUUGAACUUGGUACUUGUAUUUGAGACGUGACCAACGUGAUUACAUGUUAUAUACGUGAAUUGUUAGGGCGAGAGUGUACUUUAUCGCGCUUGUCCUUAUGUGAUAUAUACUUGUUUAUUGUUGCAAUUGAUUUGAUAUACUUGUUUAUGAUGUGCGCACUUCCUGGAAUUCCAAAAACCCUGUGGCGAGUUACUCAAGUCGAGCCGGCAAGGGCUUGGUCGAUUGGGCAACGAACCCUGGGUCUCUUAUUUUGUCGAGUGGAGUGAUAUCUCCUCGACUAAUCGAUAUACUCGAGUAUUACCACCCGUGUUUAUUGAGGAUUUUGGGCCCAGUAGGGGGUGUGAAUGGUGGACGGAGAGUAGUGUAAGUGGUGCUCUACUGGACUGGUUACAUACUUGAAUGUUGACGGAGUGUCAACUAUUACUUGAUCGAGCUCUAGUGAUGCGCUGGGAAUUUGGCUCCUGAGAGCCUUCCGUAUCCUUAUACUUUGGAAUGAUUAUUGCUUAUUGGAUUAUUGAUUCUUCUGAAAAACUUUUACACUCGCUCACUUUGAGAUUUGCUACUUGAAGUGUUAUUGUUCACUCUUAUGAACUUUUGAUGCUCACUAACUUGCUACGUUGAUAUUCGUACUUUUAAAAUGGUCAAUUUGUUAUUUGGAACCUCACUGUGCUUUUAGCUCAUUCCACGCCAUUUGUUUUCCUUACAGGGGGUACGAGCAAGACAUGAGACAUGUACAGACUAGCAUAGUCUAACUGUUUUGAGUUUUGCUUUUGCACUCACGCUAGUACCCGACUAGGGUUGAUUGUACUCGAAAUAUAAACACUUUGAAGUUUUUUGGUGGGUAGAAACUUUGAAUCUGGAUUUGAGCAUUAAUGUAUAUAUUAAGUUGAAGUGGAUGUGUUAUUCAUUUUCUAUGGAUGUACGUUAUUUUGCUUGAGCUAUGAGUGAGUGAGGGAGUGAGUCCUGGCGAGAGCUGGGCAGGCGGUCCGCCGAACCCUUUGGUUCGCCUUAGGGGAAGGUGGGGCCGUCACAAUAGUGUUUGAAGUGAAUUCUUGGGUCAUUUUUUGUAGAAAGGCCAAAGAAGAAAAGUUGAGAAGAGAAGGAUUCAUCAGUGGAUGUUUUGACAAAGCAAGUGGUUCAAGCCGAGGUUAAAUUGAAUCACUGCUUUUGGGGAUAUUUCAGAUUCAGUACCUCGCAUUGAGAAAUGCGAGAUACCUGAGCUCGUAUCUGGCGAAUGCGAGCUUGGUAAGUUCGCAUUUACCAAAUGUGAGCUUCCUUGCUGUUUUUUUACUUUUUCCCAAAAGUUUUCUCUUUUUUGGUGAAACACUGACCUCGCAUUUGUGAAAUGCGAAGAUCAUACUCCUAGAACUAGCUUCAAAAAUUACCACCCUUGUAGAACAACUUUUUUUUUUUUCAUAACAAUUUAAGAAUUUACUCAUUACUCAGCCCUCUUUUUUGCUCAUUAUCAGUUUCAAGGAGGCUUUUCGUGGGAUGAUUUCUUUUUCUGGAAAUCUACGUUGAUUGAGGAGAAGAUUUUGUGUUGGAAAUUUUUAGAAAAAAACCUCUGAAACAUCUCCAAAUCCGGGCUUGAACAUGUUACCUUCAUCAUUCUUAAAGUUUCUGCAUCAAAGUUCCUGGCUUCUAGAUGUGAGCUUUGAAUCCCACUUUUCUCAAUUUCUCUGUGUGUAAACAUCGAAGGUAAUUCUUAAUCUUUCAUUUUCUUGCUGCAAUCCACAAAAGGAAAAAUCUUUAACUCAUCAAAAGAGAACCUUUUUCAGAUUAUGCUUUCAUGAGCUUAUGGAUGCUUUCAUGAGCUUAUGGUGUGGGUUCUAUGGUUUUGCUGGGUCUGAUGUAUCUGGUGUGAAUAACAGAGGAUAAGAUUUGGAAGUAAAUGUAAAUGUUUGUCCUUGAUUAUCUUUGCAAGCCUUGCAGUUCAUAAGCAAAGUUAUGUUUCGGGGUUUUGUUCGGAAUCCAUGAGUGAAAGUUGUCUGCUUUCCUUUCUAUCUGCAAAUCUAGGAUGGGAAAUUUUGAGCCAUUAGUCCCAUGUUGUUCUGUGUUUUGUUUGUGGGGAUGUGGUUCCUAUUGGGUUUAGUUGAUGAUUCCGUGAAUUUGGCUUGAAUGUUGUGGCUGUCUUUUUGAGUUUGAAUAAAUUUCUUGAGUUGCAGAAAGAAAGCUUUCGGUUGCAGAAGAAAGCUUCUUCAAAGCUUUGCAUGCAAAACUUUUAAAAACUGCCUUUUGAUCCUUGACUUUCUAAGUAAUUAUGUUAUGGCCCAAAGUCUUCUGUAAUUGAACCAUUUUUGUCCUUUUAAGUUUUAAUCAUCUCCUUUAUAUUUUAAAUGAGUUUUUUUUGGGUAGAUCAAUCCUGGAUUGUAACACAUAAUUAGUUUUUAAUAAUUUUUUUAGUUGAUUCUGUCUUGCUGGGGUUUGUAAGAAAAUUAAAUAGUGGCUUUGGUUUUAUGUUUGGAUUUUUGGAAAAGGGUUUGAAUUAGUUCUGAUUGGUUUGUCUUGGGCUUGGAAGCCAAAGCCCUUGCAUUUUUUGAUUGGGUUUGUUUGUCAAAAGUGAUGGGCUAGCCUGCAUAUUUUCUUGAGGUUUUCGGCUAGGCUUGGGAAAUUUUCGGCCCAAAAAGAGGAAAAAUGGCCCAUGGCCUUUUGUUAAGAAAAAUCUGGUAACAAAUUUUGCAAACUGGUCUUUAAGUAAUUGUACUAUGGCUUUAAGAACUUUGGUUUUAUUUCAAUUAGAACCCUAUUUUAAUAUCAAUUUGGUCCCUAACUUUAUUUUUCUUUCAUUUUGACCCCUAAGUUUUGUGAAAAAAUUUCUUAAUUUUUUCAAUGAGAUCCCUGACAGUUUUGAUUUCUUAAAUAUAACUUACUUUUCUUCUUUAAUUGUUAAUUAUACUUCAUUCAAGUGCUUUAAUUGGUAGAUUCAUGAUUAUUUUCAUUUGUUUUAUAAUUAAAUUGGCGUCUUAAUUAUUUUGUUGAUUUUGGAGCAUAAUUAGGGCUAAUUUCACCCCAUUUAACCACAACUUCAAGGGAGGUAACCUCUUUUAUUAUUUUAAAUUCUUUUAUGUGCUCCAAUGUAUUUUUAUGUGCAAUUGCAUGUUUUGAGUAUCUUUCUUUUAAUUAUUCAUUCUUAUUCAUUUUAAGUUUUAUUUAUUUAAUUUAAUUUUGAUGAUUAUUUAAGAGGCAUUAAAAUGACAUGUUGUGAUAGAUAGGUGCUCAAGACAUGUAUUUAGCUAGCCUAUGUAAUAGAUAGGUUUUAAUUUUUGUUAAAAAUAUAUUUAGUUAGAUAAAUGUAAUAGUUAGGGUAUUAUUUUUGGAAUUCCCCCCUUAGAUUGUAGUUAGGCCUCGAAUGUAAUAGUUAGACUUUCAUUUGCGUUUAUUUGCUUGUGUGCUUGCAUGUUUGUUUAGGUCACGUAUCUAUAUACUUCAAAAUUCUCCGCAUCUAUUUACUUCAAAAUUUGCUUCAAAAUUUAUUUGCUUGUGUGCUUCCAUUUACAAAAUUAGAAGUAGGUUAGUUCAUUUGCUUGACUAGAUUAGGAGAGUCACCCUUCAAAUAUGGGAAAUGGACACGUAUGACUUCUUAGUCUUAGCACGCUCGUAUCUCUUCUAUAAAAAAGAAAAUUGAGUCAUGAAUCUUAAUCCCCCGUACUUGUUAUGUUGCAUUCUUCUUUUUUAGGUCACGUAUAUUUAUACAUUAUAAUUCUUCUUUUCUUUGAGUCUCAUUUUGCAUAUUCGUGAUCUCUUCUAAGAAUCAUUUUUGAACAUCACAAUUAAUGUGAAUUGUAUCAAUUAAAUUUUGAAAAGAUAUUUCGACCAUCUCGAUAUUCAUUAGGUUUAGGUUCGCAUCGAUAUAAUAACAUCCAAAUGUGAUAAGUUUUAUAGAUUAAAUUAAAAAAAAAUUCGACUAAAUCACGCGACUAACCUUGGCUAGGUUGAAAGGGUGUUUUAGAUCAAAUCUUUGCCUUCGCUUUCUUCAACCGUGACUCCCGAACUCUUUUAUCUUGUUUUCAAAGACCUGGAGUCAUUUAAAAAGGGUUUCACCUAUAUUUUUUUUUAUUGAAAAUAUAUUUUUGGGUGACUUGGUACACCUUAGAUCAAUACCAAGUAUCGACUCCUAUUUUUUCUUAAAAACCUUUUUUAAACUAUUAUUUUGGGUUAAAAUCGUCGCAUUUUUUAAGUCCUAUUUUUCUUUAUUUAUUCUCUGAAAACCAAAAAUUCAUAUUAAUCAAAAAAUUCAUUUUUUAUGACUCGUAAUUUUACUUUUCAAAAAAGGGGCGUGACAAAGCAUUUGUAGCAAAAACUCAAAUUUAAAGCUUUUAGAGUAGCUUUUAUGAUUUAAAAAAAUAAAACAUUAAACAUAAUCAUUUUAUCCUAUAUUAUAAACUAAAUAAAGAUAUAAAUACAUUUAAAAAUUUUCAAAUCACACAUUAUCCAAUAUAGUAAAAACUUAUUAAACUAUGUCUCCAAACAGCAUACUUUUUUUUUUAAGGACUAAACAGCAUAUUUAAAAGCAUUUAACCACUUAAUAAGUACAUUUAUUAAAAGCUUUAUUGAGAAAAUACUUUUCAACAAGCUACAGCAACUCCAAACAGCCCUUAGUUCUAUUAAUCUGAUAAACAAUGAUAACAGUACUUCUCAAAUCACUUCAAAAUUCUCCGCAUCAGAAAUGGCUAUGUCUAUCAUCAAAACAAAGAAAAUGAUCGAUCUAAAGCAUUCGAACACUAAAACUCUUCAUUUGUAGAUCUCCAAAGAGGAUUGACCAAAAGCAUUCAACAAAAAAGGCGAAAAUUAAUAUAUUGCUCAACCAUUAGAACAGUUCAAAUGAUAAGCCACAUUUCCCAAUUUUUCUUCCAUGAUUUUCUUGUAACGUUCUGCCAUGGAAUGAAUAACAAAAUUUGUCCAAUCUCCUACUUUUCCCUUUCUAAAAAAGGAACUAGCCUUAAACUUAGUAGCUGGAGUAUUAACACCACCGUUCUUGUUCCCCUCCAAAUUCCUGAGAUUCUCUAAGCUACAAAGCCUAACAAUUUCCUCAACUACACCAUUUUCAUCUUCCUCUGGAGAAAAAGGAAAUCCCAAAAACUCUGCUAGCUUCUUCACGUGAGAAGUUGCAUCUAUUUUGAGAUCCUCGUACUUGAGAAACAACACCUUUUGAACAUCAUUUAAGCUUGCAUUCCAGUACCCCUCAGCAUGAUCCCAAAAGGGUCCCAACGGGCAUAUGCCUUUGCAAAAUAAUUCAAAAGCUUCAUCAAUGGGAAGUGCUUUUGCUGAUCUUCACCACGAUUUUCAAGCAAAAAGUGUCGGUGAGAAAUGAACUGAUCCAAAGGGUUUCCGCGUAUAUAAAUUGUGCGACGUUUUGUAUUCAAAAUUGAUUUAGGAAGGGCAUGGCAUGGUAGAUGUGUUGAGAAAAUUCUUGGACAUAAGAAGGCCUCAAGAUCAGGUUUUUCACAUUCCAGAAAUAAAUCAUACUCCAGAAAACGUACAAGCUCAUGAGGAUUGGUGGUGAGGCGAGGGCCCUUUAGUAUUGAGUUCUUCUUGCGGUUGAUGAUGCUAAAGCUUAGUGAUUUUAGGCAAGUGGUGCCUGAUUUAGGCAUGGAAGCUAAGAUAACGUCGCGAUCCUUGGCUUUGAAGUUUCUUUGAAAGAAGAUUGUGGAUCUAAGAACUGUUGCUGGAGACCAAAAAUUGUCGUAAUAGCAUUGCCAACGGCCAUCCCAGUUUACUUCUUUAGGAAUUUUUGUAGCAAUUCUUGAAAUUCAUCCAUUUUCUCUAUACCUUUGGUUGAGGAUGAAGGAGCGAAUACUGGCGUUUCUUCCAUGGGAAAGUAAAAUGGAUCGGUAUUAGCAAGUCAGGAUUUCUUUAAUCCAACAACAUCACAUAUCAAAAUUUGUACUAGUUUAAUAAUGGGAUGUUGCGGUGUCACCUCAAUAAUUCCUUAUUCUAUACUUUUCGUUUUGAAAUGUUUUUCAAUCUUUAUAGUCUUGAGAUUGAUAAACAAAAAUACUAUACUUGCUGAUUGAGGGCUAGCCAAAAAGCUUCCUACGUGUACCUCUGUCUUUUGUGAUUUGGGGGCAGAACAGCUUUCCUUGAUUAGAGCUCUAAUCAAGGAAAGAGUUUUUUUUUUUUUGGGAGGGGGUUGGUAUGGUUUGGAUGCGAUUAUAAUACUAGAUCUUAAUAUGAUGCUAGUAUGGCAUGCAACGGAUAAUAAUUUCCUAUAACCUAUGAAUUUUGUAAAUUUUAUGAAUGGUUGUAUUCAGCAUUCUUGGCCCUACUUCUAUGUCAAUAAGUUAAAAAAUAAAUGACUAAAAAUUCUUUUAGCUAAACAAAAGUUAAAGAAAAUUUCAUGUUAUUUAUUUAUUUUUAGUUUUAGUAGUGCUAUACUCUCAACUGUGACCUGCGAAAUGUAGGGCACGUCGUGUGGCCUUGUGGAUAGCUACAAAGCUACCAUAGAAAUAUUAUGAGCCAGCAAAAACCAUAUCUUGGAAUUAAACAUAAAUAGCUCAUGAUACUGUGCUAAUCCCAGGAAAGGCGUUCUUUCUUUUUCUUUUUCCAGGAAAGGUUUACUACAAAACAGAGUACGAUAAAAAAAAUGUUACAAGAAUAUGUUAAUGAUGAUUAUUGUAGGAUAAUAGACAAUCACUUGAGCCAAAAUUAUAAGAACGAAACAGCCAUCCAAUAGAGAAGAAAGCACCUACUAUCAGGAGCGGAAGCAAUUCUAACACAUAUAAAAAUAUGCGUGAAGAGAAUAUGGGUCAAAAAUUGCUUCUGCUAUACGUAUUUUUUUUUGUGCCAACACGUAAUUGGCAGAAAAAAAUAAUUAAGAUUUGGGCUUCGGGUUUGUCAGGAAAUGGAGGGAAAAAAUACACUUUCCAUCCUCAAGGUUUGGCGUGAUGACCAAUUUCUUUCCCAAAGCCUCGCCCCAGGCACAUCGCAUGCUCAAAGCUGCUCAAUUUCGACUGUUUAAGGACAAUUGACAAAGCUCAAAGCAAUUUGGACAAAAAUAGGUCAUGUGAGAUGCAUGCCCAUUAAAUGGGGUGCUUGACCAAAUAAAAGAGGGAUAAAAUCCUUCAAAUCCUCCUAAUUUCUUUUCUUUCUUUACAAGCCAAACUCUAAAAUUUUUUUUUGCAGCAACCAAUUUCUUCCCCCAAACAACAUGAGGACCAAUUGAAAUUGCAACAAGAGUUUGAGAAGUAUAGUGCAAAAAGAAAGAAAAUGAGAGAGCCGAGGCAAAAAAAGAGAGAAAAAGGCUAUAGAUAGCUCGGCAAGUGAGGUAAAAAUUGAGGGAAAACAAAUGCUCCUGAUAAAAGCCAAGAAAGUGAGGAAGUUAAUGAGAGAUGAGCAGCCACUUCUUAUGCUUGUUAGCAAAGAAGUAGCUCUGAAUGUGCAUGAACUUGAUACUAACAUACUCUUGAGGUUAAGUCUCUGUUGCAGGAAUAUGCUGAUAUCUUCCCCGAGGACGUGCCAAGUGGAUUACCACCGCUUAGAGGCAUUGAGCACCAAAUAGACUUCGUCCCUGGAGCUUCGUUGCCAAAUCGGCCAGCUUACAAGAGCAACCCGGAGGAAACUAAGGAGUUACAAAGGCAAGUGGACGACUUGCUUGGCAAAGGAUGGGCACGUGAGAGCUUAAGCCCGUGCGCUGUCCCAGUCAUUUUGGUGCCCAAGAAAGAUGGUACGUGGAGAAUGUGCACUGAUUGUAGGGCCGUAAAUGCCAUCACGGUAAAGUAUCGCCACCCUAUACCUCGCUUAGAUGACAUGCUUGAUGAGUUACAUGGGGCUGUGUUCUUUACCAAAAUUGAUCUAAAAAGUGGGUACCAUCAAAUUAGGAUUAAGGAGGGGGAUGAAUGGAAAACUGCCUUAAAACUAAGUAUGGAUUGUAUGAGUGGUUAGUGAUGCCUUUUGGGCUCACUAAUGCACCUAGCACCUUCAUGAGGUUAAUGAACCAUGUUCUGCGUCCAUUCUUAGGAAAAUUCGUGGUAGUUUACUUUGAUGAUAUCCUAAUUUAUAGCAAAUCUUAUGAUGAACACCUCGAGCAUAUUAGGGCUGUUAUGGAUGUACUUCGACGAGAGCAGCUCUAUGCCAAUCUCAAGAAGUGUAAUUUUUGCACUAAUGAGCUUGUGUUUCUAGGGUUUGUUAUAAGUGCGCAGGGAAUGAAGGUGGAUGAUCAAAAGGUGAAAGCUAUUCAAGAGUGGCCAACACCAAGGUCUGUGGGUGAUGUUCGAAGCUUCCAUGGCCUUGCGGGUUUCUAUAGGAGAUUCGUGAGGGACUUUAGCACUAUUGCUGCACCCUUGACCGAGUUGAUUAAGAAGAAUGAGAACUUCCAUUGGGGAGAUUCUCAAGAACAAGCCUUUCGCGCUUUAAAGCACAAACUCACACAUGCACCUGUACUUGCUUUACCUGACUUUUCUAAGACAUUUGAGAUUGAUUGUGAUGCUUCAGGUAUUGGAGUUGGAGCUGUGUUGAAUCAAGGAGGAAGACCUAUUGCCUACUUUAGUGAGAAACUCAAUGGGGCUGCACUGAACUACUCAACUUAUGAUAAAGAGUUGUACGCCCUCAUUCGAGCACUACAAGUUUGGCAGCACUACUUAAGGCCUAAGGAAUUCGUGAUACACACUGAUCAUGAGUCCCUUAAAUACCUUAAGGCCCAGCACACCUUGAGCAAAAAGCAUGCAAGGUGGAUCGCAUUCGUGGAGUCCUUUCCGUACGUAAUUAAAUAUAAGGCUGGUAAGUCUAAUGUGGUUGCGGAUGCACUCUCACGAAGGUACUCUCUACUCACUUCCUUAGAUGCUAAGUUGUUAGGGUUUGAGCUGAUUAAAGACAUCUAUGCCCAAGAUAGUGAUUUCGGUGAACUUUACCUUUCUUGCAAACACACUGGGCAAGGUAAAUUCUUCAUUUCCGAUGGUUACUUGUUUUAUGCCAAUCGGCUUUGCAUCCCACAUGGAUCCAUCCGCGAACUUUUGGUACGAGAAUCCCAUUCGGGUGGCCUUAUGGGACAUUUUGGGGUUGAUAAGACUCUUGCCAUGCUGCAGGAGCACUUCUAUUGGCCGCACAUGAGGAGAGAUGUUGCACGGGUGGUGGAGCGAUGCUUAGCUUGUAAGAAAGCUAAAUCCAAGGUACACCCGUAUGGCCUUUACACCCCGUUACCUAUUUCUAGUGCACCAUGGGUCGAUAUUUCUAUGGAUUUUAUACUUGGUUUGCCUAGAUCCAAGUAUGGCCAUGACUCCAUUUAUGUGGUAGUUGAUAGAUUCUCUAAAAUGGCACACUUCAUUGCAUGUCAUAAAACUGAUGAUGCAUCUCAUAUUGCUAACUUAUUCUUUAAAGAGAUUGUGAGAUUGCAUGGCAUUCCUAGGACCAUUGUCUCAGACAGAGAUGUCAAAUUUCUGAGCUAUUUUUGGAAGACACUCUGGUCUAAGUUAGGCACCAAAUUGCUAUUCUCUACUGCCAGCCACCCCCAAACUGAUGGUCAAACUGAGGUGGUAAAUCGUACAUUAGGUACCUUGUUGCGUGCCAUCAUCAAAAAGAACUUGAAAUCAUGGGAAGAAUGUUUACCUCAUGUUGAGUUUGCUUAUAAUAGGGCUAUCCAUUCUACUACUGGUUUCUCUCCAUUUGAAUGUGCUUAUGGUUUUAAUCCACUAACACCACUUGAUCUAGUGCCAUUACCUAGUAAUGAGCGCGCACAUUUGGAUGGUAAGAAACGUGCAGAGUUUGUUAAGCAACUGCAUGAGAAAGUCAGGGCUAACAUUGAGAGGAGAACUGCUCAAUAUGUCAAGCAAGCUAACAAAGGUCGCCAAAAGUUGAUUUUUGAGCCUGGCGAUUGGGUGUGGUUGCACAUGCGCAAAGAACGCUUUCCUGUUCAAAGGAGGAACAAAUUACAACCACGGGGUGAUGGACCUUUUCAAGUGUUGGAGCGCAUCAAUGACAACGCCUACAAACUUGACCUUCCUGGUGAGUAUGGAGUUAGUGCUACAUUUAAUGUCUCUGACUUAGCUCCUUUUGAUGCAGAUGAUGCGUUUGAUUUGAGGGCAAAUCCUUCUCAAGAGGAGGGGAAUGAUAGCAUCAUGGUACGUGGGCAGGCCAACAAUGGCUCGGGUAAUCGAGGAGCUGAGGAUCACGUGCUCGCCCCAAGUGGACCCAUUACUAGGGCUCGCGCAAAGAAACUUCGUGAGCAACUCAAUGUACUUAUUCAGGCCAUACACAAGUCCUUUGAAGGAUUCAUGCAUUCAAGUGAAGGUGGUCGCGGUCCGAUAAUGAGCAUUGAAGCUACACCCGAGGAUUAGGGUUUUGCCAAACCCUAAUUUCCGUUUUAGCAUCAUAGUUAGUUAUUUCCACAUUAGUUGAUUAGAUUGAAUAAUUGGCUAAGUGCAUAUCGCACGUAGAAUCGCCAAGGGUAGGAUUGCUAAUUUACUCAUUAUUAUUUGCUAGAGUGGGCUGCCUAGGAAGGAAAGCCCACGUGAGGCCCAACCCGUCGGGGGUUAAGCCUCCUUUAUUAGGGCCCAUAUCCACUGCGCCCUUAGUCCAUUUUCUACUAGAUUAGGGUUUUCACUUGUAGCCUAUAUAAGGCACCAUAUUACAUCAAUAAAGGGUAGACACUUUUAUGAUAAAAAUAUUGAGAGAGUUUUCUCCAUAGCUUUCGAGCAAACCUUGAACAACUUAGAGUUAUACUCUAGUGUUCUUGUUCGGCUUAUCAAUUCAAGAAUCGCACUUGAAUUGUGGCGCCUUCUACACUUGCCUGAGGUUCACUAAUUCGUUUGAUUACGGGUUGAGAUAAUAUCAACAAGUUCGUAGUCACGGGAUUAGAGGGGUCGUAGGGUUUCCGCUGCUACCGUUCUUGCGUUCGAAGUCAAAUCCAACAAGAGAUCUUGGGUCGCGAAUCUUCUCACCAACGAGAUUCGUAUCAUCUUGGGUCUUCCUGGUGCUCUUCCAUAUGUUGGUGGGAGUGGGGGCUAGAUAUUCAUAUCUGCCCAAUCUUGCUCUCCAUGAAGAGGUAGUAUGCAGGGCUCAUAACACUUGAGAUAAGUGUGCACUCUAUAGUAGUCAUCAACAUACUCCAUUGGAUCCUUCAUUGCAAUCCAAUGUGCUGAAAUUGCAUGAUAGCAAGGUAUCCCUGUCAAGUCCCAUUUCUUACAAGAGCAUGUCUUCUCUUCAAUGUUAACUGCAUACUUUUCACCAUAGGGAUCAGCAACUUCAUAAUUAAUUUCAUUGGAUUUUUAAGGCACACAGUAAGUUGCCUUAUCUAUGUUCUCCUUCAUUCUUUUCCUGAUUUUUGGGCAGAUUGCAAAUUUGCUCCAUUUUUCUCUGGCUCUAUCUCUGUUUUCCUGCAUUCUUGACAUCAUAAAAUAUCUCAAUGACUCCAUCAUUGCAACAAUUGACUCCUCUCUAGCAUCCAAGAUCUUGCUGUUGAAGGAUUCACAUAUGUUAUUCAGCAACAUAUCACACUUUGGGUAAGUGCUGAAGUGUGAUCUACUCCACUCUGCCAGAUCCUUGUCAUCUAACCACUUAGCUGCUUCAGCAUCAAGUUCAACAAUUGCCUCCAUUCUUCUUCUGAAUUGAAUUGGAGUAGUUGCCUUAGCUGCUUUCCACAGAGCUUUCCUCAUUGCCGCCUCUUUGAACCCAGCAGAUGACAUGUUACUAUGCAUAUGUUUAAUACAGAAUCUGUGGGUUGCAUUCGAAAAAACUGUUUCACAUGCUUGGAUUAUUCCCUUUUGCUUAUCACUCAUUAUUGUCCACUCAUAGUCCCUUUCAAUUUUCAAAUCUUCCUUGAGUAAUGUUAGAAACCAAAUCCAAGAAUCUUUGGUUUCUCCCUUAGUUGCUGCGUAAGCUAUAGGAUACAUUCCAUUAUUAGCAUCAACUCCAACUGCUGUCAAUAGUACACCCCCUGCUAAACCUUUGAGAAAAGUUCCAUCCAAUCCAAACACAUGCCUACAAGCUGCUAAGAACCCCUGUUUUACUCUAACAAAGCACAUGUAUAAUCUCUGAAAUUUGCCCUGUCCAGUUACUGCAUCACAAUAGUCAUCUACCAACUUCAUAAUUACUAUGCUACCUAGAUUAUUUCUCUCAAUUUCAUUGAUAUAUUGAGGCAGUUUAUUAUAUUGAUCCAUCUCACUAUCUUUGGCCAAAUUCUCUGCAAUUUUCUUAGCUCUAUAGCCUUGAUGUCUACUAAGAUGACAUUUGUGCUCUUUCAUUACCAGAUUUUUGAAACUAACAUAGUCCAACUUGGGUUCUCCCUAAAUAUGCCAACAUAUCUUCUUCCUACCCACCCAGACUUCACACUUUUGUUGUGGUAUGAAAAUCCACAUUUGUGCUUCUUUUGAAAUGUUCUAACUUCCAAUCUGUCAUCCCUUUUCAUCCUCCUAGCAUUUAUGCACCAAUCACAGCCAUCUUUAGGACAUAUUGCUCUAACUCUUAUGCUAUCACUCUUGACAAUUUAAAUGAUCUCCCUCUCCUAAUGUUCCAGGUUCUAAUUGCUUCUUUCAACUCCUUGAAGGAAGAAAAUAUUUGUCUAAGUUUAAUUUUGGAGUUAUUUUCAUCCUUGGGAUCAAACACAGGGGGUCUAAAGCUUUUGUCUUCAUCCAACCUUGUAUCACUACCAAUAUCAGUAGCUGAAUCUGGGGCAGCAUCUACAUCAGAAUUGUCAUCAUCACUUUCAGUAUCACUAGGCAUUUGUUUCCUAAGCAUGUGGCUCAUCCUAGCAUCCGUAGAGCUUUUUUUAAGGUGCUUAUUCAGCUGCUCUUGUUUUCUAUUUCUACUCCUAACCAUUCAGAAUCUUUAUCAACAUUUUCAUCAUAAUCAUUAUCAUCUAAAUUUUGAUCAUAAUCCGAGUCUUCUCUUGAGAAUCCCCCAAAUCAGAACCUGAACUAGCCAUAUAUUCAUCAUCCUCUUCAUCUUCUAACACAAAGUCUCCAUCCUCAAUGUCAGACCCCCAUUGUGAUGCUAGAAUAUCAUUAAAGGAAACCUCUACAUACAAAUCAACCACCCUACCAUGGUCAAAAUGAUCAGCACAAUAUGCAUGCAAUUCUCUAUCAUGUCUUAACAAACGAAAUCCAUGUUCCUCGAUUAGGAUAUGGUACUUUUUGUCACCAACAGCUUGAAGUUGAUUUUCUAGCAUUCUAUCCAUUUCAAAUAGACUAAUGCCUAUGGCAUCUACAUGAUAAAAAUCCUUAAUUCUCCUCCCUCAUAAUGCACAUCAGGUUCAGUUUCAAUUUUCCCCAUUAUAACACUUCAUAGUCACUUCAGUGCUAUCACUGUCUGAAUUUAGGGACAAAAAAAAAAGAAACAAACACAAAUAAACAAGUACCAAAAGUGACAAACUAGAUUAUAUAAAACAAGUAAUUUGCACUCAAUCAGCUUCAAGGACCACAAAAGCAUGUUACCGAGUCUUCCUACCCACCCAACAUUGUCUACCAUGACAACUCACACCAGAGAGACAUACGACCACAUACAAUGGUAGACAAGAAAUAUUUUAGGCUUUGUCAGAAUGUCUUAAAAAUCCAAAAUUUAAGACAUUCUUUGUCUCCCAAGUGAAAAUCUCACCCAAAAUCAUCACAUUCUUAGAAUAUAAGCAUGAAUUAAGCAUGUGUAAUGCUACCUAAGGUAAAAAUCACAUACCGUAAUCUGGUGGCGGUGCUCCAUUCAUUUCUUUUGGUCUUAGUGCCAUUUCCUCCUCCCAGACUCACAAACAACUCCACUAUCACCGAGUUCUUCAAGAUUUUGCUUUCGAUUUGCUAGUUUUAUUCACAAUGUUAGGUCUGGGUUUUUGUUGGAGUUUCUGGAGACCGAAGAGAAAAAGGGGGGACAAUUAGUGUGUUUUGUCUUUGCUAAUUAAAAAGUGGCACCAAAAGGCUGGAAAUAAUUUUUUAUGGGUUUUCACGCAAAAAAUUGAGAAAAGAUUUUAACUGCCAACACAUGCUCUCACGUGACUUGUUUCCCGCAAAAAAUGAAGAAAACUAGUCAAUUGUCCACUUUCGAGCAAAAUUGGAUUGAUUGGGACCGCAUUUGUUCUCCCCAAUAGAUUGGGACUAGUUUCGCGCGUUUGUAAUACAUUGGGGAUCAAAACUCCAAUUCUCCCUAUUUUCCAUGUGGACUAGAUUAGGUGGAGUUAAUGAUCUUAGAGGUUGUAGUCCAACCAAAAAUUGCUCAGGAAACAGCAAAAUUUCCUAAAACACUCAUUUAUGUGAUUAACUUUUACAGAAUAAUGUAGCUGCACCUCUACUAGUUGUUCUCAAAUAAUUUUGUACAUUUACCAAAUUUUUUGGGGCAAACAAGUAGUUUAUAGCUAUCUAAUACUAUUACAUUUUCCUAGUGUCAUUGUCACAGGCACUGUCCAUUAAUAAGCCAUAACAUUCACAAGUCUGCAAAAGUCGGACUAUUGCAAAUUGGAAGUUGAGGCACAAAGCACCACAUGCAUUGUAGUUUGGGAAGAAUUGAGAAAUGCUAUGUGAUCGCUAAAGUUUUGACAAUGCAGUAAAAUAGAACAAAAAGUUUCAACAGAAAUGAAAAUAGUUACCAAUUUUAACCAAAACAGAACAAUUGCCAGAAUCUGAACAACUGCUAAUGGUACAUGAAACUCAUAAGAAAUUUACCCGGAUGUUAGUAAGAACAAUAACUUAAAACAUAUUUGAUUGUUACCUUUAUGAACAGAUUCCACCUCGCGCCUUUCCUGACACCACAAGGAUCUCUGCAAGUGAGAAACUUUAGAAAAACAAAAAUGUGCUUACCAUAUUAAGAGUGGAAAAUCAGGUUCGAUAGCAACUAGCAAAGAUGUCCCAGCAGAGUUUGGAGUUAGUCCUAAGAUGGAUCUCAGAUGAGUAUUUCUUCGUGAAUCUUUCCUUUUCUUGCUCAAGUAUCCUGCGCAUCGCAUUUCUUCAAUUGUAUGCUUUAUGAUCAUUCAAAUGCACUUCUAAUCAUGAAAAAAUCAUCCAAACUUCUACUCGCUUUAAUCUGAUUGAUAAUUGAACCAAUCAAUCUGAUAAAACAUGAAGUUUUGACUAUUUAAAUUCAUAGAAAUGUAAUGUUUCUCACUUUAAUUACAAAAAGCAAAUUUUAACUAAAAUUUAUUGGACUCAAACUUGAAUAAAAACACACUAAAACACACAUAAAUAACCACACACAGAUAUGCAAAACAAGCACUUACCAAUGGAUGUAGAAAAAGUAUCACAAGGCAGCAUAUUAAGGAAAUGCUUGUUAAAUCUUCAAAAAAAAGAAAAUCAAAGAAAAGCUUUAUUUAAUUUUAAGGAUAUAUCGAAAAGGACUAAGAAAUUUACUACUUUCUUAGGCAGCAUAUAUUCACUCAGAUUUUGUCCUUCCUUGGUCAAUAAAGAAAACAGAGUUCACCAUGCCAGUUAACUUUUUGUGUAUGCGGGUUGCUAAAAGACAUCUAUGCCCAGUUACUUAUUCUAUUGCCAAUUUUACACUUGUGGGGCCAAAUAAUGUCCAAUUUUCCUCUUUCUUUCUUACUUAUCCUUAUUAAUGAAUUCGUUUCAUUUUCCAAUGCAUAAGGCUAUAUUUUAGUGAAAAAAGUAUGUGAGUAACAUUACAAAUCGGAUAUAUACAUAUAUAUUUUAUAUAUAUAUAUAUAUAUAUAUAUAUAUAUAUAUUCAGAAAAAGUAUUUUAAGCUUUUCUAGUUUUAUUUACAAUUCUUCAUUCUUCAUUCAUUGUUAUUAAAGUAAAUAUUGUUUACUCAGUAAAAUAUUAUAUUUUUCUUUUUCUUUCUUUUCUUCUAUAUCCUUAUUAACAAUUUCUUUUCAUGCUUAAAGAAAAUUUCUUUAUUGCUAUAAUAAAUUUGUAUAAUUGGUUUAUGUAAUUUCUAUUUUUGUUGAAAAUUAAUGCAUCACUAAGAACUUGGAAAUUACAUUUUAAAAAGGAAGAAAUACUACCAUGCAUUAAUUGUAAUAAAAAAUAACAAUGACAUAAGCUACACUAAAAAUGAGAAAAUAAGCUAUAGCAAGUCAAAAGUGUAUUCUAAGUUAUUACAUAUUAUGACAAGCUAAAAGCCACUGGUGGCGUCAAAGAUUGAAGAAAAGGGGUAAACGAUGCAGAAGGAAGAAAAGUUAAGAAGCAUGAAAAUGAAACUUGAAGCGUUUACUUUACCGCUGGUUAACUAUUCAAAGAACUUAUAGUAAUUAAGGAGCAUUCUGCGUACUUCGUGAAUACAAAGGUAUACUGCUACUAACAACAUUUUUCUUCACUUGUUUGAAUUUACAGGCUAAGUUUUGAAUCCUAGAUUUCCUUGAGCAAUUGAAAAGCAAGAGGCAAAUUUUAUAAAUAUGAAAGUUUCUCAUCCUAAAUCGAGGGUUAAAGCUGAAAUUUUUUUAUUGUUUUUGUCUAUUCUUUAAUUGGAAACACAUAUGCUCCGCAUUCAUUCUUGACGUGACUAACCCUAAAAAUGUUUCCAAGUGUCACAUUAAAUUUCAAACCCGAAAACCUUUGUCGGAAGGAUGGGGCACAGCGGCCUAAACGAAGGAUUAGGUUAAUUUUGCAUAUCUUCUAGGGAAUGUGGCAAAUUUGAUUCUAGUUUAUGCACAUAUGAAAUUUAUAAUUAGGUAGGUAGUAUGCAUAUCUGAAUAUUGAUUGAUCUUUACCACAUAAUCAAUUAAUCAGGAGAUGUUUUUUAAGCUACGCAUCCAACAAAAGUAGAACGUCACUUGAUUUACCACUUUCACCAUGCAGGUACUAAUAUUUUGCCUAUAUUCAUAUUCUCAUAUCUCUUUCGGGAACCUAUGUCUUUGAUUGAUGGAUUCUUGCCGCGUUGAAAUUUACCUGAUUUGAUUGUUAUCCCCUUUUUUUCAUAUAUAAAGAGCUAAAGAAAUUUAUUACGAAGAAAGUAAAUCCACAUGAAAAGCGGAAAAAAAAUUUUUAUCCUAGCUGCCGUAGCCAAACCCUGAAAAAUUCUUCCCAAGCCAAGCUACUCUAUUUGCUUGUGAGCCCAAAAUAACAUGGUAAAUUUUUGAAUUAAUUAAUUUAGGUCUAAUAACACAUACUCUCUUCAAAAUUACAUGUACUUUUAGUUGUCCCCUUUAUAGUCCAAUUGCAGUGUUUCUAAUAAGAAAGCACUUUUAGGUGCUAAAAGUGCUUUUGAAGCAUUUGAUUAACAUCAUUCAUAAAAUUAGGAGUGAAAUUUUUGGUAUAAAAAAUACUGCAAAAACUCAAAUUUGGUGCUUUCAGAUUAACUUUUGUAUUUUCAAAAAUAAAACAUUAAAUUUGAUCAUUUUAUCCAAUAUUAUGAACUAAAUAAAGAGAUAAAUAUAUUUAAAAAUUUUCAAGUUACACAUUAUCUAAUACAAUGAGUACUUAUUGAACUAUGUAUCCAAGUAAUGUACUUAAAAACACUUAAGUACUUAAUAAAUGCUUUUAUUAAAAACUGAAGUACUUUUCAAUAAGCUACUUCAAUUCCAAACAUGCCUCAAUCCAAUACAGUUAACCAAGUAGUCCAAAAUCGAACAUUAUUUCAUUAUAAAACAAGCAUCUCGUUUCAAUAAAGAGUAAAUAAGCCUUUGAAUAAGCAAUAAUUAGUAAAUAUACGUAGAAAAAUUGUGUAAUUGAGGUGAUAUGUGUCAAAAAAUUGUUGACUAUAUUUAGCACAUGUUUGAGAUGUCAUUUUGAUAUAUGUGGCAACAAACUAGUCGAUAUCAUUGAGUGCAUCUAUAUUUAUCUUUUGUAAAAAUGCAUUUUACAUGGUUGUGUCGAUUUCAAUGGUUGAUUCCUAGGUUGGUUGGAAAAAUUUAGAAUGUUUUACAGCUGAUUAAGCCAAGUGGUCAUUGAAGACUACCAAGUGAGAAAAAAAUUGUUUUUGAAGGGCUAUGUGUGUCAUUACCUUGGUCGCCGAUCACAACAACAUUCAUUAUGAUGAACAGAAGAAUAGUGGAAUCUGAGAAACCACUUGAAUAAUCAAGUUUUAAGUGUAACUAUCCAAUUAGUCUCACCUUUUAGUGUCACAAUCAAUGAUUAAUUAAACUCAACUCCUAACCAUGUUUAGAGACAUAAAGAUGUGGUGCAUUAAUGUGGGUCACUCAAAGCAUCCGUAAUUUAGCUUUGUCUAUAAAGUUAAUGCUUCUUAAUUGGAAUGACAUAUUUGCUUUUUGUGAAAAGACAAGUGCAUAUGUUCAGAUGUUUAUCUGAUUGAGUUGCAGUUUUGCUUCUCAUUGUAUGACCUAUGUGCAUUAGCCCGUAAAGUUUUGGCCUUUCAAAAUGUGGCCCCUAACGUUUUGAAUUUUAUGCCAAUUUAGGACAAUUGAUGGAAAAUCAGAAUAGCUAAUGGUCAAAUCAACUUGACGUUAGUAAAAAAUUUUGUCUUUGCAUUUUUUAUCCCUAAUGUUGGAGUUUUAAUCAAUAUAGCCUCUUAAGUUUCAAAUAUUGAUAUUAAAGGUUUUAAGAUGAAACAAUAUGUGAAUUACAUUGAAAUUGCAUUAGUUGUGUGCUAGAAAUUCUAAUAAUAAUAACUUUGAAUAGCUAAUUAAAUUUUGUUUCUUUUGUCAUUCAAAGAAGGAAACAAAUAAAGAAAUUAUUAAGAAAAAAUUUUUAAAAAAAACUUUUUCAAGCAAUUUAUCUUAGUCGUUUUUGUUUUUAUUUAAUGAAUAUAAAAUAAUAGAACAAAAAUAAAUUUGAUAAAAAGAAAAAGAUAACUCCCUUCCAAUGCAUGAGACUGGUUUGCUGAGAUAGUGUACUGUGCUACAAAUUGGUGGUAGAAAUAUGCAACUCCUCGAAAGAUCAUUACUCCUUCAACUGGAUUAGGAAUAGUGCAUGUCAUAAAAACCUUCACUUUACCUUGGUUAACCUGCAUAGGACAGUGAACACUAAACAAAGCAAAGUUAAAAUUGUUAGUAGACAAAUAAUUACUCUCACUAAUUCUCUCAAUUUUUACAAUCAUACUCUCUAUCUCAAGAGAACUCUCGCUCAUGUUUUCACUCAAGCACAAUGCACUCUCUUUUUCAUUAUCACUUUUCUCAACUUUUACUUCAUGUACAUUUACACUUUGUAUAUUACUGUGCUCACUCUCAACUCCUCCUCCCAAUUCCGCAACUUCAAUGAUAAUUUCUUCAAGUUCAAAUUCACUUUGGAUGGAUUUAGACGGAUUUCCCCUAGCAUUGACUUCCACAACGUCCAAGUUAGAAGAUGACUAAUUAUUGCAUUCAGCUUUCAUCUUUACUUGCUUCUCAAGUAGUAGGCGUUGGUAGAUAACCCACCAUGACUCCUUAUGUGGUUCAUUCUUAGAUUUAGGCAUGGAAGUUGUCUGAUAGACUUCUUCUUUCCUUCUUCGAAGUUGCCUUUCAAUUUUAAUCGAAAUACUUACCACAUCCCACAACUUCAUAUGAGGUAGUACUUCAAUAUGAUUAGCAAUCUUCCUUUUCAAUCCACUCAAAAAUUGGUCAAUAGUAGUGUCUAGAUUUCUUCAAUCUCAGCUUGUUUUAUUAUUAACUCCAUCUCUUCAAAAUACUUAAUCACGGUUUUAGAGCCUUGAUUAAAUGAGUGAAAUUUUUGCAACAACUCUCCAAAGAAAGUAGGAGCAUAUCUCUUAAGCAUUAUCCUCUUCAAUACACUCCAAGUGGCAAUUGAUGAUAGACCACAUAAUCGACGUUCUUUCACAAAUUGAUUCCACCAUGUUAAAGUAUAAUGAUUAAAAGCAUGGAUAGCCAAUUUUACCUUCUCCUUUUCAAUAUAAGAUUGAUGUCCAAAGAAACAUUCCACUUUCUUUACCCAUGUUAAGCAUGUAUCUUUAAGACCGCUGAAAAAUGGUAUAGAUAUUUUAAAGUUAAAAAAACCAACUCCUCGAUAUUCUCUUAAUUCCUCCUCAUGACAUCACCAAUCAUGAAUGCAGUAAGGUCCUCCACUUAAAUAUCUAGAGGUGGAUCUCUCCAUUCAAUCAAAAGUUUGUAUGUGAAUCUGCAAGAAUGGUUAGUGACAAGAAAGAAAUUUCCUCACAAUACUCUCUUAUGUGUAUCCAAUCACUCUUGUGUUUACACUCAAGUAAGCAUGCUCUAUUAAUCUCACCACUCUUUCAAGUCCUUCAUCAACCCUUGAGACAAAUUGAAUUUGCUCACGAUGAUUAAGAAGGUUUAACAAUUCAAUCAACGUAGUGGCAAUGGCUAGGAGUAUAAGAUGAAUGACUGUGACUUGAUGAGAUUUGAUUAAAAUAAACUUGAAAAUAACUCAAAAGAUGGACGGAAUUAGGCAAGAAUAGAAGAAACAAUUGGCUAAUUAAUAAAACAAUGACUCGGCAGAAAUUUGGAAACUUAGAGACUCUACACAAUCGUACUUGGUUAGAAUUUGAAAGUUUAGUUGAUUGAUUUUUGGAUUCAUUUUGGAAAGCAAAUUGCUGUUUUAAGAAGCUCUCGUAAGUGUGAUUCAAGUGGCUUAACAAACCAAAUUGGACAAGAAUUUAUGUAACCAGAUUUUGGCAACAAUCCAAGUCAAAUUAGAUUUCAAAUUCAAGACUAUUUCUUGUUUUGAAAUUCAAGACUAUAGUCCAUUCAAGAGCUUGUUCAUUUCUUCUUUUCUUUCUCUCUCUUUUUUUACGGAUUGAUUUCUUUCUCUUAUUUUUUUUUCUUUUUCCAUAGAUCAAAUCAAGAAACAUUUAAAAGAUGAACUAGGGUUUCAAGAAUUUCAAGAUUUUGAAAUUUUGAUUCAGGAUUUCCAAGAAUCCAACUAUGCAAUCCAACAAUUUCAAGAAAACACCAACCAACUACAAGAGACAAACAUAAGCUAUGAAUUUACUUUGUUUCGGAUGAACAGUAAUUGCUACAGUAUGAUAAAUAGUAAACGCAAUAGUAACAAUGUUACAGUACCUGAUGAACAGUAACGAUGCUAUAGUAUGAAUUUGUUUUACUCAAUAAAACACAAAAAAUGUCUUGGCAAGAAACAAGAAUUGAAUGAAUGAUAACAAAGGUGAUCACAUGAAAUUCAAACCCUAGAACGAUGAAUAGACUCUUUUUUGUAAUUGGAUAGGAUUUGGUAAAAGAAUAAAAAUGAAAACAAGAAAAGAAAAAGAUAUUAAUCUGGAUCAAGGUCGAAACUUUGAUAUCAACUGAUGCAAAUUCGAAUUCCCAAACUCCCGCUCUUGAAGAAAUGAAUUGAACAUGCAACGAAAAGAUCUAUUUUGAACAAGUUAUAGAACGAAACUGAUGAAAAACCUCGACUCCUCUAACCUCUAAAGUUAUAAAUCUUGAAUUUAAUCAUGACCCACAACUUAACAAAUUAGCAAAUCAAGACUUGUUAGUAGAAUCCACAAUUCAAUUUUGAAUUGAUAAGCCAAAACUUGAACAAAGAAAACACGACUCACUUUGUAUCAAGGAACGUUCCCAAGGAACAAGAAAGAGAAAACUCUCAAAUUUUAUUCAUCAUUUGGAUUUUGAAAAGUUGCAUAAGGUUGGCUAUUUUUAGCCUUACAUGACUCAAAAUUCUAAACAAAUUUGAAAACAAUUAACUACUUUCCUAAAAUCCUAAUUCGACUCAAUUUUGGUCAUAUGACCUAGCCUCUUUCCAACUAAUGACUUAACUUAGACUCCAAACUAACUCUAAUUAACAACUAACAUUGCUGGAAACUCAAUUAAAUAAACAACAAUAAGAAAUAAUCAAGACAUGGACUUAGAUUUGCAAUGAUUCUUGAGGGCGAUUGCACCAUCAACCAUCAUUAGAAUGUGAAGACUUGUAAAAUGAAUUUCCUUGAACUUGUAGGAGAUCCGGAUCUUCAUGUUCUCAUCGGUUUGAUUUGUCUAAAUAUUGGUUAAACUAUUAAGAAGAUAGUUUUGUCAAUUACAUGCGUUGAU